rnacentral:lncRNA from 1 species
ACACGGUGUAAACUGUAGCCACCCGCGUAAGAGACACUAGUAAGAUAUCAAAUAUAUAUCUUCCCAGAAACAACCACUCCAACAAUUGUCAUCUGCUUUUCUUGAUCUAUAAAUUGCGCCUCAUCUAUCGUCUACCCAACAAACCAAACCCAGCUAAGUGUUUCACUUUGUUUUCAUUCCCUUCUGUUUCUAGCAUCUCUCUUUUAUUUUCUUCUUCUACCUCCAUAGAAUACUUUGAAGGCCCUUAGAAAUAUUAUUCAAAGAUGAGUUCAUCAACUUACUCCGGAGCAGCAUACCCUCCCCCACCUUGUUCUACACCGCCGGGUCAGGCUCCACCACCUGCUGGUUAUCCAACAAGAGAUGCCCCAAAUCCCCAUGGACAUGGAGCUGUAGAAACAAAGUCAAAAGGUGAUGGCUUCUGGAAGGGAUGCUGUGCUGCCUUGUGCUGCUGUUGCGUUUUGGAUGCAUGUUUUUGAACAUCAUCCAGGAGAUUCUUGAAUUGAGAGCCCAAUAAUCCACAUAUAUCUUUCGUUUGUGAAUUUUAUUUUAGACACAUUUAUUUCAGUUUUUCCGUUGUUAUACUUCUAUGAGGAAGGGACCAUGUCGAUUUCCUAUUUAGUGAUCCUACGUACCGAUUGUCCAAUUCUUUUUAUUGUAUAAUGAUUCUUAUAAUAAAAUUUCUUCAUUUGCAGCUAAUAUAAGGAAAUCAUCCAUGAAUUUUUCUUGAAUCAUGAUCUUUUGGCUCAACUUUAUCCUAGUUCUACUGGGAGUAACCCCAUUUUUCACCUUGAAUUGGUCAAAAUAUUUGGAAUUUUUUACUUUUUUUUGUAGAGGAUUAGAUCUAGUAACUGGAGUUCAUGGCUAGCUCACACCAUCAUUUAGUUAUUGCAAUUCUUUUUUUCUGAUAGCGGGCGGGUCACAUGUAUAGAAUCAACUGAAGCAUUGGUCAUGAUAUAAAAGAUAUUUUAUAGAGGCUUACAUUCCAAAUGUGGGACAUAUCGCUUAACCCAACAAUCUUAACUAGUAUAAUACGAAAUGAAAAACAAUGACUGAUGUUUCAUUUCCUUAAUAUGUCGGAUGAAUUCCAAUGCAAAAAAUAAAUAGAAAAUCUUUAUGACGUUAAAAAAUUAAAAUUAAACAUAACAUUAAUUAAAUUCAAUAGGAAAAAAAAUCCGACGGUCCAAAAAAUACAAUAUACACUUUUGACAUUUUACCUCUCUAGUGGGUGAAUGUAAAUUUCAGGUUGAAAAUUGGUUUUACAUCUUGGAAUAUUCCAAUCAAGAUACCACCGAAGAUGUAAAAGUCACUUACAUCCUUAUUUUUAUAUAUUUGCAUUGGAGAUGCUCUUAUAUGUGCUCUUCAGUUUGAUAGAGUAUUAAAAUCUCAUUAUAGAGAUAUGGAAAACAAUUUCUUGGACAAAUACAAUUGCAAAAAGUAUAAUAAAAGUCAUGUGUCCACGUGUGCACUAAUGUUAUUUUUGGUACAAUCUAUUUCAAUCUAAUCUAAAUUAUAAGGAGGGAGAUUUGAACUCGAGUGCAGAAUAGAGAACACAUCUUCUUUAACCAACUUGGCUAAGCCCUUACUUGCACUAGUGUUAUAUAACUAUAAAAUGUGAAUGAAAUCAUUGAUGCAAAUGUAACGGCAAAAAAAGAAACUGAAAAAUUUAAUGUAAAAAGUUUUUAUCCAGGUGUGAAACUAUAAUUUAUUUGUAAAGGACAAAUAUCAAGUGACUGCUAAGUUGUUUUGGCUUUAACCUACAAACAACUAAGGAGGUUACCAUCUUGAAGAAUACUUCUAGAAAGCGAGACGCACAAAGGUUGGCUCUUUAAAACUAAGAAGGAGCGCAUUCUCAAAACAAAUGGGAUUUUGACACUUAUCAAAAUUCAAAAUAAAAAAAAUUAAAAGAAUAUCAGAAAUAAUAAAAAUAAAAUGAAAAUGACAAGUGUCAAAAACCCAUUUAUUUUGAGAAGGACCCAAAGCUUUUUUCCAAGCCAACUAUGUUGGAUAUCCUCUCACGAGUUGGAUAUAAUAUGAUUUGCACUUUCCUACGUACCUUCCGCUGGCUAGUCCGAAAGUAAUAAGAAGAAUAACAUUUUGUAUUUUUCUUCUCCACAUACAUUUUGGAUUUGCACGCGGUGUAGUGUUGCCACCCGCGUUAAGACACUAAUUAUUGACCUUCCAGGAAAUGAACAAUCACUCCAAUUCCCAUCUGGUUUUCUUCAUGUAUAUACAUAUAAAAUGGGGCUUCAUUCAUCAAAUCAAACCAUCCAAUACAAACCAAACCCAAACUAGAAAUACUCAGCUUAUUAUUUUUCAACUAAAAUGAGUUCGUCGACUAAUUCCGCAGCAGCAUACCCUCCUCAUCCCCAACCUUACUCGAUGGCGCCUGGAUCUUAUUACGUGCAGGCUCCGCCACCUGCUGGUUAUCCCACAAGAGAUGCUCCAAAUCCUGCUUCCGCUCAUCAUGGGCCUGUAGAAACCAAGUCCAAGGGUGAUGGCUUCUGGAAGGGAUGUUGUGCUGCCUUGUGUUGUUGUUGUCUCUUGGAUGCUUGUUUUUGAACAUCAUCAUCCUAUGUGAUUUUUGAAUUCAGCCCAGUAAUCAUAUAUUACUUUAUUCGUUUGUGAAUUAUGUUUUCCUCACUUUCUGUAACUUUUGCGUUAUUAUUCGAUUAUGUAAUUCUUGUUGUUGCAUUAUUCGUAUAGUAAAAUUCUAUAAUUUGUUCAAAUAAAAGAGACAAGUUUUUGUGAGUAUUAAAUAGUUUCACGUUAUGAUAUUAACACUGUACAUUCACGAAUUCGCUUGAAAAAAAAAAAAGAAAAGAAGAAAGAAAACAUGAACUCGGAUUCUGAAGUUAUUAACUGUAUUUUAGGCUGGGUGGGGUAUGCAAUGUCAUCAGUUGAUGACGUGGGAGAACGUGUGACCAAACAUGUGGAAAAUGUAUAUUGGCCGUUCAAUCUAAUAUCCAUACAAUAAUAGAACCCUUAUGUCAUUCGAUUUGAUACUGCCACCAUAAUAGAUAAACAAUAGAAGAUUUGAGGAAGAGUUUCAGAAGGAAAAACAGAGGAAGAUGGAGUAGUUGUUUGAGUAAAACUUCUAUGGUGCAAUUCUUAGACAGUUUUGGGUAUUUCUCAGAUUCUUUGCUUAAGACAAAAGCCUAAGGCUUAUAUAUACAAGGAUAGAUAAAAUCCCAACCAUCCAUGCGGCGUAUUGAUCGACCAUACAAUAAAGUCAAAAAGUCAAACUAUUUGUAUCACAAUCUUUGAACUUCUUGUGCUGUGAAUGAUAUGCCUUGUUUAAGAACUUAUUUGUAUCACAAUCUCAAUUCUCCUAUUCACCAUAUUCUUGGACUGUUAUAUUCUGUGUUGCUUUUUAUUUAGUUCGAAAUCUUUCCUGUGAUGAAUGGUUGCUCUAAAAUUAUUUAUUAAAUACUUGAGGCAAGGGACUUAGCUCCAUCUAUUUUUAUAGGAUGAGAGCUUGUGAGAAUUCCCUGUAAAUGUCUCCUCUCAAGACCCCCGCCCCCUCUAUUCUUUUUGCUCUUGUUUUGGCACAUUGAUGAUUGAUGUGUGAUGCGAUCUUUAUGAUUUAUGCUUGAAUGCCUGUACUUUUCAGUGUUCUUCGUUUGUUAUUGCUGAUUAAUAACAACCUUCUUGUGUGAUUGGUCCAUUACAUUGUUUGUGCUAACUUUCCUUCUCAAAUUUGAUUACUUAGAGUCAGCAAUCUCUUUGACGAACGACUUUAUAGAAACAGCAAUCUCUUUGACGAACGACUUUACUAAGGUGCUAUCCAAGCACCCAGGAAGCAUAAAAGGUGAAGUUGUAGAUAAUAAAAAAUAGAUAUUUGUUGAUUAGCAAAAAACCCAACAAGAAAUGGAGGGAAAUGGUUCCAAAUUGGUGGCAAAUGGGUCUGAAGCUUUGAAGAGGUCAAAAGGAAUUGAUUUAACGAUUAUAUCCCUUAUAAAAUAGGGAUUUAACGGUUUUUUUGACGAAUGAACUAUUUAAGAGCACCUAUAUUAAUGUUAAGGACCAUAGGUGAUACAAAUUUUUUUUUUAACGAUGCAAUUUGAUAGUUUCGCAAACAUAGAGACGUUUUGUGAUAAAAAUCUUUUUGCAAAUUAUAAUUUGACAUAUGUGCAAAAAUAAUUCAUAAAAAACACAAAAAGAAAAACUUCUACACAUAUAUCAAACUGCCAUCGACAUAAAUGUUGAAACUUCUUCUUUACUAACGGGGAUGGUGGGAAGUAUUUUCCAUAAUAUAAUUGCUCUUUCCUACGGAGGUCGUCCACUCCAAAAGUAAUUAUGAGAACAGAAUAGGGCCCAUUGCGUUUUGCUUAGCAGUCUUGUUUUCUUUCUUUCUUUCUUAUUUCUUCUUUUUGGGGUCUGAACUGCCCCACAUAGGUACACUGUAGCCACCCGCGUAAGAGACACUAGUAAGAUAUCAAAUACGUAUCUUCCCAGAAACAACCACUCCAACAAUUGUCAUCUGCUUUCUUGAUCUAUAAAUUGCGCCUCAUCUAUCAUCUACCCAACAAACCAAACCCAGCUAAGUGUUUUCACUUUGUUUUCAUUCCCUUCUGUUUCUAGCAUCUCUCUUUUAUUUUCUUCUUCUACCUCCAUAGAAUACUUUGAAGGCCCUUAGAAAUAUUAUUCAAAGAUGAGUUCAUCAACUUACUCCGGAGCAGCAUACCCUCCCCCACCUUGUUCUACACCGCCGGGUCAGGCUCCACCACCUGCUGGUUAUCCAACAAGAGAUGCCCCAAAUCCCCAUGGACAUGGAGCUGUAGAAACAAAGUCAAAAGGUGAUGGCUUCUGGAAGGGAUGCUGUGCUGCCUUGUGCUGCUGUUGCGUUUUGGAUGCAUGUUUUUGAACAUCAUCCAGGAGAUUCUUGAAUUGAGAGCCCAAUAAUCCACAUAUAUCUUUCAUUUGUGAAUUUUAUUUUACACACAUUUAUUUCAGUUUUUCCGUUGUUAUACUUCUAUGAGGAAAGGACCAUGUCGAUUUCCCAUAUAGUGAUCCUACGUACCGAUUGUCCAAUUCUUUUUAUUGUAUAAUGAUUCUUAUAAUAAAAUUUCUUCAUUUGCAGCUAAUAUAAGGAAAUCUUCCAUGAAUUUAUCUUGAAUCGGGAUCUUUUGGCUCAACUUUAUCUUAGUUCUAACGAGGGAGCAACCUCAUUUUUCACCUUGAAGUGGUCAAAAUAUAUGUGAAAUUUUUUUACUUUUUGUAGAGGAUUAGAUCUAGUAAUUGGAGGUCAUGGCUGACUCACACCAUAAUUUAGCUAUUGCAAUUCUUUUUUCCUUGGUAGCGGGUCACAUGUAUAGAAUCAACUGGGACAUUGGUCAUUGAUGCAAGAGCAUAUGGGUGGAUUAAGAUAGAUAUUUAGCAUUUAAUUAGUUAUUUCAUGAUAUAUUGUUAUUUUCUUACUUAGGUAGUUUUAAGAUAUCUUUUAUUAUUUCACUACUACAAAAAGUGAGAAAGACGACCAGAAAACAACGACGGUCUAAGUGAAAACCGUCGUGGUUUAUAAAAAGACGACGGUUCUAAAAACACCGUCGUGUAAUACAACCUUAGACAACUAAAAAAUGGAGUUUCAAAUGGCUGUUCAAAAACAACGACGUACAUAAUUAAACAACCGACGUCUAUUUGAAACAGAUUUCCGCAGUGUAAAAUCAAUGCCAACAAAGAACGGCAGAAGUUAUGAAUCGACCGACGUAGAAAGUAAAGACGACGAUUUCAAUAAAAACUGCCGUUUUUACUCAUAAAAUAAGACGACGAGGUUUUCGUAUAAGACGCCGUAUAAUUACAAACAAAUCCACGGCUUUAAAAUACAAAAUAUCGCCGUAUUAAAUUAAUUUACAACGACGGAAAAUAUAAAUAUAUCGACGUCAUUCUCGUAUAGUUCUACUACGUUAUCUUUAAAUCGUACAAUAAAAUUUAUCGUCGUAUUUAUUCAUUUUAUACGUCGUACCUUUAAUUUUAACGGUCGUCUUAAUAAGAAUUUUUGUUAACAAUUUUUUUCUUUGAUUUUCAUAUCCUACGUCGGUAGAUCUACUUAAUGACAAGAAUUGAAAUAACCACGACGGUUUAUAUAGAACACCGCCGACAUAAUCAGUUUUGUCUGAGAUCCCAAGGGUUACGAAAUCUUACCAGAUGGAACUCUGUUCCACAUCAUAAUCUUAACAGAUGACACAGAUUUGCAAAUAUUGCGUCGUGUUAGUUUACAAAUUCUAGAACAUUAAUUUCCCUCAUUUUAAAUUUCCUCGGGAAAGAAAAAUCUAUUUAUCACGCUUUGGAAUUGAAAACUAAAACUGAAAGAAUACGGGAAAAAAAACUCCAUUUAUAAUUUAAAAUUAAAAUCCACGUCGGUUGUAGUACACUUAACGACGUUUAACAAAAUAAUCUACGUCGGUAAUUAUAAAUCUACCGCCAUCGUAACUUAAUAUAGACGACGAGAAAAGACGACGGUAGAACAGAAAACCGCCGUUGUUUCAGUUUCUUUAACAUAUCUUUCUGCAGGACUUGUGUAGUUCAAAGCAUUGACAAUGUCUUCAUCAUAUCUCCCAGAAACUACUGAUUCAAUUGCUCAUGCUUUAGAGGCCAUCUGAAGCCAUUUCUAUUCUUAUCGCAUUCUUGAAACCCAUCUUCUUCUUCUGAAGCUCUACGGAUAAAGGAAGAGGCUAUCACAAUAAAUCCGAUGGAUCUUCUUAGGCAAGAAAAUCAAGCAGAGGAUCAGGCACAUCUGAUCUUCAGAUUUCCCUGAGAAGCGAACUUUCCUUCGACAGCGAGUGGAGGCCAGGCUUGCAUCUCUUUUGAUGGAAAGCAAGGAGUAUUCAGAAGCACUAAGUGUCCUAUCAGGCUUGAUCAAGGAAGUGAGAAGGCUAGUUGACAAGCUUCUUCUUGUGGACAUAUAUUUGAUGCGAGUAAGCUCAAUUUCUCUUUGAGAAAACAUCCAAAUUAUUAUCUUUGAGACAUGAGAGACUGAGAGAGGAAGAACUUGGAACCUUAAAUGUAAACCGAAAAUGAAUGAAAGCGACAAAUUUAUAGAAUAAAUUUUUAAAACCAACGGCGGUCCUUACAAAAAAACCGCCGUUUAAAUUGUAAAAUCAACGUCGGUAUGAUCGACGUAUAUUACAGAAAUCCACGUCGGUAAAUUAAUAAAAACGACGUGUUAAAUAAUAUACCAUGACGCGAGUUAUUACUUAUGUACUUUAAUUUUUGAGUUUACUACGACGGUACCUACAAACUACUGUCGUAUUUAUUUACCACGUCCGAAGUUAAAUGUACCGUCGUAUUUUGUAAUUUAUACGUCGUAGUUAUAUGUAACCGCCAUAUUAUUUUUUUGAAAUGGUUUUAUAUGUAAGCAACUUUUCGUCUACUUGACUUACACAUUUGUUGUUUUUAUAUUCUUAUUUUAUUUAAAUCUGUCAUCCAAAAAAGAAACUUUACAUAUUGCAGAAUAUUAAUUUCCUUCGUUUUAAAUUUCCUCCGGAAAAAAAACUCUAUUUAUAACGCCCUGUAAUUGAAAAAUAAACUGAAAGGUCACGGGAAAAAAAAUUCUAUUCAUAAUUUAAAAAUUAAAAUCCACGUCGGUUAUAUUAAACCUAACGACGUUAAAUGAAAUGAUUCCACGUCGAAUGAAAAAUAUUGCGUCGUUUUAGUUAAAAACGACGUAGUUAAAUGUAACCGCCGUAUUAUUUUUUUGAAAUGGUUUUAUAUGUAAGCAACUUUUCGACUUACACAUGCACUGUUUCCAAACCCGAUUAAAAAUUUCAAUCUCCCAGAGAAACCUUUUCGUCUUUUUUCCUUGUCAGAGCAUUGUCAGAGUUUCUCAUCGUCUUCCUCUCGUCUUCUUCGUCGUCUCUGAACUUAAACAUCGAUCAUCUUCCUCUUGCUUUCAUUGCACGCAAAAGGUAAGCUUUCAUUUUCACUAUUUUGGUUACUGUUUUGCAUGCUCAUACGUUUUUUGUUUGAAAAAUCUUUUUACCUUUUUUAUGGCCAAAAUCGUUUUACUUCUUUCCAAGUUUGAUAAAAUAUACAGACAAAGAGAGAAAGUUUCCAACUUUGAAGACAACUACAUCAACUAAAUAAGACGACGGUAGACCACGACGGUUCGUCAGUUGUUCUAGCGUCGUCUGAAAAUUGACAAAGUUGUUUUUAAAAUAAUAGUCUUUUUUUAUAUGCUUGUUUAAUUGCAGGUUUGAUUUCGCUGAACAAUGGUUUUUGUUUUUCCCUUAUUUGAUAAAAUAUAAAGAAAAAGAAACUAGGGUUGGUAUCUAAUAUAGACGACAAAAUAUCUUAUUGUUUUACGUCGUGUGAAUGUUAAUACCACGACGGUGUAUUACUAUUGACGUCGUAUGAACAUAAAUACCACGACGUUAUAUAAAUAAUAGUUUACCACGACGGUGUAUUACUAUUGACGUCGUGUGAACAUAUAUACCACGACGUUAUAUAAAUAAUGGUUUUAAACAUUUAUUACGUCUGAGAUUAUUUCAUUGCGUCGUCUAAAAUCAUAUCAUACGUCGUAUUUUUUUAAUACCGUCGUUUGUGUUCUUAAUGUUUUCCUGAAAUAUUUUCACUUGCAGUUUUGUCUGUUAAAAUGGUUUCUCAACAACAAACUAAGGAUUCUGGCUCCAAGAAGCUUGGAAUGGUAGCUCCUCAAGAUAAGUCUUCGAAGGAGAUGAAGUCUUCGAAGAAGAUGAAGUUUGCUUCAUCAUCUGCUGAGACAGAACAAACCAGCCAGACAACAAUCUCAGAUGAUUCAAGGACUGGUCGAGGUAUGAGCACAAUGCCUCGUGUUGUGAAGAGAAAGCUUCAGAAACUGAGGCCAAUUGUUGAGUACAAUAAAAGGGGGAAAGGUGUUGGCCAAGCACAUAUUGAGAUGCAGUCGUAUAUUGGUGUGUUGGCACGCUCCAGGAUCCCACUUGUGGACAAGAAAUGGUCCCAAAUCCCCAAGGAUAUAAAGGAGCAGAUUUGGGAAGCAGUUGACAUGGCUUUUGUCGUAGGCCAAGGGGGCAAGACCUCUGUUUUAGCUUCUGCUUCCAAGAAAUGGAAGGAUUUACUACGUCGUUGAAUGGAUAUACUACGUCGGUUAUGAAAAAUAUCGUCGUCUGUGAUUGAAUUUCUUUUUAUUUAUAAACCCUAAUAGUCAUUGUUUAUGCAGUAUGCCAAGGGAAACCAGGAAGCUUCAUACCCCCAAGAAGCCAUUGAUGAAGUCCGGAAUGAAUGGGCAGAGUUUGUUUUCCAAAUUAUUAAACAGGGCAAUUAUUGAACACUUGAUAUUUAUGUAUAAUGUACCAAUUUUCUCUAUAAUAUGUAAUGUAAAAAUUUGUUGAGGUUUUCUUAAAUUAAAAAAAAAAACAAACAUACAAAUUGCUUAACCGACGUGUAAUACUUUUCCAACGACCUAAUAAAGUCAAUAACCGUCGUAUUUUGUUGUUGCGUGUUUUAAACAAAUACGACGUAAAAAAAUAGUUAGACGACGUUCUUUGAACAAUUGAGUCGUUAAUGGUUUACAAUAUCUUCAAUUUCUUAAGGGUUCAGGGUAUAAUCGACGACGUUUAUGUAACGACUGCGGUUAAGUCGUAAAAUAUAUAUUUUACGUCGUAUAGUUAAAUAGCCGCCAUGGUUUCUCAUUUUAACGACGUCAUUUUAACGACUUAGUAGUCUAUUACAAUUUACAACGUCUACAAUUUAUUUAACACCGACGUGGUUUGUUGUAUGGUAAGAAUAUUUUAUUAUUUUUAUAUCAAAAUAUUCAAAAUAAAUAUAAAAUAAAUCAGAAAAUUGAAAAGUCAACUCCUAUGAAGUCAUUGAUAUAUUUUCUUCCACAUAAACCUUGAAAAAAUUCAUUUUGAAUAACAAAAAUUUAAAAUGACCAUCCAAAACAAAAUUGUUUUGAUGAGUCAUAAAAUCACUUCUAGUUUUAUGGUUUAGGGUUUAGAGUCUAGGGUUUAGAGAUUAGGGUUGUUAUUUAUUGGGGUUUAUUUUUAAAGUAUAAUUUUUGGGUAGUCUAGGGUAUAUGUUAGGCUUUAAAACCAUAAAACCUUUUAUAAACUUAAUUUUUUAAAUUGUAUAAUUUAAUUUUAUGGGUUUAGUGUAUUAAUUUUUAACGACGGUGGUUGGGUCGUGGAAUACAUAUUUUACGUCGUACAGUAAAACAUACGACAUGGUUUACGCUUUAAACGACGUCAUUUUAAUAUGUAAGUCGGUUUAUAUAAUUUACAACGUUUUUAAUUUCUUAACACCGACGUGGUUUCUCAUUUUAACGACGUCAUUUUAACGACUUAGUAGUCUAUUACAAUUUACAACGUCUACAAUUUAUUUAACACCGACGUGGUUUGUUGUAUGGUAAGAAUAUUUUAUUAUUUUUAUAUCAAAAUAUUCAAAAUAAAUAUAAAAUAAAUCAGAAAAUUGAAAAGUCAACUCCUAUGAAGUCAUUGAUAUAUUUUCUUCCACAUAAACCUUGAAAAAAUUCAUUUUGAAUAACAAAAAUUUAAAAUGACCAUCCAAAAUAAAAUUGUUUUGAUGAGUCAUAAAAUCACUUCUAGUUUUAUGGUUUAGGGUUUAGAGUCUAGGGUUUAGAGAUUAGGGUUGUUAUUUAUUGGGGUUUAUUUUUAAAGUAUAAUUUUUGGGUAGUCUAUGUUAUAUGUUAGGCUUUAAAACCAUAAAACCUUUUAUAAACUUAAUUUUUUAAAUUGUAUAAUUUAAUUUUAUGGGUUUAGUGUAUUAAUUUUUAACGACGGUGGUUGGGUCGUGGAAUACAUAUUUUACGUCGUACAGUAAAACAUACGACAUGGUUUACGCUUUAAACGACGUUAUUUUAAUAUGUAAGUCGGUUUAUAUAAUUUACAACGUCUUUAAUUUCUUAACACCGACGUGGUUUUUCAGUCGUCGUUAUAUAAAAAAUUCAAAAUAAAUUUAAAAUUAAUCCGAAAAAUGAACGGCCUUACGUUCUUAAUCCGAAAAAUGAAGUUUCCGUCGUGGAAUAUUAAAUUUACGUCGGUACUUGUAGAACUUUCGCCUUGGUUUUUCUUUCGACGUUUUAUAACGCGCGCGCUCUAAAAAUUUUCGCGCGACCUAAAUUUUUUUAGAUUUGGCUCUUAUUCUUAUACUUUGAUCCCUGAAACCUAAAAUUUCAGAUUUCACGCGACAUAACAUUUCGCUCUCUCACUUCUGCUCUAAUUAAAAGUUGCACUCUCCAGGCUCGUCGAAUCUGUGAGCUCGUCCAACCUGUAAGUACAAACCCUAUCUUCCCCUUGUAAAUUCAUUGAAUGAUAUUAGGUUGUUUUGUUAAAGGGUUUUAGGUAUAUGCUUUGCGAUCUGUUAAUAAUGUGCUUAUAGGUAUGGGUUCAUGGAUUUUCUGUUUAAUGGGUUCAUGACAAAGGUGUACUUUUGCUGGAAAUCAACACAAAAAGACACAUCACCAACUUCCAAAUGAUUUCCAGCAAAAGGACACCUUUAUUUGAUCUUGUCAUUUUCCGCUCUGGAGAAGGUGCAAAGUGCACCAAUGCUUAUAGGUAUGGGUUCAUGGAUUUUCUGUUUAAUGGGUUCAUGGAUUACAUUAUCUGUUAUGUUGAAUUGGGAAUGGAUUUAAUUUUGUCGUAUCUUUUAAUCACCCUAUGUUAUGUUGAAUUGGGAAUGGAUUUAUUGUUUUCAUGCUUGGUUUCAUGUAUAUGUUGGUUUCUUGCUUGGUUUCAUAUAUAUGUUGUGUUCUUAAUGGGUUUUGUGUUCUUGAAAAUAAACUGAGACACGACGAAUUUUAAGGCGUACGACGACGAUUACACGACGGUGUUUUUAAACUACCGUCGUUGUAUUACUUAUACACGACGGUUUUUUCAUAAACCGUCGUUUGUAUUACGUAUAAUAGACGACGUCUGUUGAAAAUCCGUCGUCUAUAUAUGCCAAAUACGUCUGUUUUUGAUUAAAACCCGUCGUCUCUGUUGUUUAUCUUAUAUAUUUGGGACCGUAAUGCUUGAAUUUUUCGUGUCAUGUAGGCAACAUAUGAUCCACAUCAAGACUGCUUAUCCAAAAUUUAGAAAGAGAACAAAGUGGCUGCAGGAUAAGCACAAUAGCACUUUCAUUCAAUGGCUACGCUUCAAGGUAUAUGUUGUUCAAUAACGUAUUUCUCUUUUAAUUUUCUUCUUAUUUAUAUGUUAGGAUGAAUUAAGAUAUGAUUAAUUUGCAGGUUCAAAGUGAAGUUGAGGAAGACAAUCAUGGCGUAUCAGAAAAUUUAAGGUGGCUAGCAGCUGGUCCAAACAUGUCAGUGCCAUUAUAUAGGAGCUAUCUUAUUAAAGGUAUUAAAUUCAAUAUCAAGGCACAAGAUGAUGUGCGGACAACUCAAAAUAGUGGAGUUUAUUUACUUGCACAUACCAUGCAAGUUGCUAGUGCCAAGGAUAAAAACCCAAUUCUCUCAAAUAUGGGUUUCUAUGGUGUCAUUCAAGAAAUUUGGGACCUUGACUACCAAAAGUUUACAAUCCCAGUCUUUAGGUGUGAUUGGAUAGAUAGUUCUGGUCUUGUAGUCGACGAACUUGGAUUUACCCUUGUAGAUUUGAGUAAAAUUGGACAUAGGAAUGACCAAUUUGUUUUGGCUUCUCAAGUCAAACAAAUAUUUUUUGUUGACGACCCGAUGCAUCGUGGUUGGUCGGUAGUGUUAUCAAUGCCUAGUAGAGAAUAUAAUGAUGUUAUUGGUGAUGAAGUAUUAGGUGAUGUGAUAAUUGAGUGUGAGCCAUUUACUAGAGGGAUGCCAAAUGUUGACACAUUUGAUGAACUGGUAGGUGAGUUAGGCGGUCAAAAUAUUCGAGAUGGGUGUGAAGAUAUAUGGAUUGAAUGAUGCUUAUGUAAUUGGCAGUGUAUGACAUUAAUUUUGUAAUAUAUUGUAAUGUGAUUUCUUCACUUUCUACGUUCAAAUAAAACACGACGUUAUUGUGAAUCAGUUAUUCAGCAUAUUUACCGACGUCUUAAAGCAACGUAACAAUGAAGAACCACGACGCUAUUGUGAAGCAAUUAUUCAGGAUAUCACGUCGGUGAAGGAUAAAGAACCGCCAUGUAAUUCAAAAUAACACGACUCCAAUCCCAUAAUACCGACGUCUAAAAAACGAGAUAUGUAAUCUGAACGUUAAAAAAUACGACGUCAUCAUACAUUUUCCACGUCGCAAGUUCUUUUAUAAACGAAGAGGAACGAAAUUAAUUCCGACGGAAAUUCAUUAUAACCGCCGUCUAAUAACAAUUAAACGACGUUAUUUGUAAUACGGCUCCCAUCAUAAUCUACGCCGUCUAUAUGUUCUGUAAUACGGCUCUCAUUUAUUUGGAACCGACGUUGUUUAGACGUUCAACGUCGUCUAUAUUAUUAAGUGCGUCGUGAGUAAUGAAUACAUAUAAAUACAACGUCGACUAUAUAAAUGUAUACGUCGUAAAUAAUGACACUGACAACUAUUUCCACGUCAUCUUUUUUAGAAAAAUCGAAGUGGAAAAUUUAUUUCACGACGGUUUUUUGUAAAUAAGAGACGUUGUAGAACUUUAGCAGACUAAACACGUCUGUUUUUAUUGUUUUCCGACGUUGUUGUAUUUAACAACGUCUAAUAUUUAUGGUCGUUGUUUGUUUCUGAAAAUAGGACGUAUAAAUUUUUUAAUACGACUCUCAUAUAUUUGUAACUGACGUUGUUUAGUUUUUCAACGUCUACUAUAGAAACACAUACGUCGUAAAUAAUGACACUGACAACUAUUUCCACGUCAUCUUUUAUCGAAAAAUCGAAGUGGAAAAUUAAUUGUACGACGGUUGUGUUUAUAUGUGCGACGUAGUAGGUAUCAAUAACGUCGUCUUCUAAUGUAUUUAAAGACGUCAUAUUUUUUAUUGUCGUGAAAAUUAUAUUUAACGUCGGCGUAUUUUUAGUGUCGUCGUUGUAUGUCUAUCUUGCGGCUUUGUUCUCUUAAUAUGUGUCAUAUUUUCCCUUUUUAACGACGGUGUUUUUAGAGAAUUGGUCGUCUAUUAUCAUCCUCGAUUGCUUUUUUUAGAUCUUUUUGCAGUACAAAGACGUCGUUUUGUAUUUUUUGAUGACGUUGUAUUGUUUAACAACGACGGUUAUUUAGCGUCGUGGUUUAUGAGGGAAAAGAUGACGGUGGAUUCCACGACCAUUGAAAAACCAAAUACACGACGGUGAUUUACCGUCGUCUUUUUGCUUUUUUGUAGUAGUGUUUGUGUGAUUUUAUAAAUUAAUUAGUUUACUUUUGGACCAAGUAGCCUUGGUGCCCAAGUCUUGUAAAGCCUAUAAAUAAGGCUAAUGUAAUAGUUGUUGGGGAAGGGGGGGUGUUGAUGUUGAUAAUUAAUGAAAUAGUUUAUUUGUGGUAUAGAUUUGCUACGAUAUAUGCGAGUUUGCACUAAUCCUAGAUUUCGGUACUUGUGUAUGUGGUUGGUGACCUAUGUUCAGAUCCCGAUCCCCAUCAAUUGGUAUCAGAUCUAUGGCUCAAGAUUUGCUUUAUCAGGAAGGUUUUUGGGUGGAGGGUCUUGUUGACAACUACAACGACAUUGAGGAAAUUAGAAGGAUGCUACGGCAACUUACGGAAUGCAUCGCUCGCAUUGAAGCUCAAACCCAGAUAGGUAAGAGUUCUGACGGGUAGAGAUGCGUGAACCCUUAUCUGAAUCGAGUAGCUCGCAUCGACACUCUAAGCCAUGGGAGUCUCGACAGAGAGUAUGAGGGAGGUAGCCCUUUGAUUCAAGCCUACGAUAUAUGUGAGUUUGUACUAGACCUAGAUUUCAGUAUUCGUGUAUGUGGUUGGUGACCUAUCUCCGGAUCCCGAUCCCCAUCAGUCAUGAUAUAAAAGAUAUUUUAUAGAGACUUACAUUCCCAAUGUGGGACAUGUCGCUUAACCCAACAAUCUUAACUAGUAUAAUACGAAACAAAAAACAAUGAUUGAUGUUUCAUUUCCUUAAUAUGUCAGAUGAAUUCUGUAGGGGCUUUUUUUCUUCCGGUAGCUAUAAAUGGGCUGGACUGCCGUAAAGAGCAAAAUGGCUGAAAUUUCCCCUUUAUGUUUGAGUUCAAAUAUCAGACCCCAAAAUGUUUCGAAAGGAUAGUAAAGCCUUAGGAAACACCCUAGUUACCUUCACCAACGAACAUAAUGGUUGUUUACAGAUGAAUUCUUAGUGCUUACAUGUAGAAUCUUAGCUUGGCAUGAGAGGCUUGUGGCAUGGGAGCAAAGUUGUCAUGAGUUUAGCACUAAAGAGAAAAUUAAGUAUUCCUAGGGGAAAGAUGUGGUAUUAAGGUGGGAGAGAAAUGAUUUUACAAAGAGGUUUGGUUGAGCAUGAAGGAAAGAGAGGAACGGGUGGCUUGAGUGUUUUUCCUGCAGCUUGACAGAGGCUCUGUCAAGUGUUAGAACAGCUUGCCAAGAGGGAAACUAAGGGAAAAGGAUGGGUUGAGCACGAAAUUGCUGGGUUUUGGGAGUAAGAGAGGAAGUUUGCUUUCUGGAUGUGAUUGAUGCUUGUUGGGUAGAAGAGGCCUCUUUUAUAGCCGCUGGAAGCUGACAUUUUCCAAGAAACCCUUAUAGUUUCUAUCCAAUUUGGCCAAAUCUCUCCCUUCAUUUCUUCUCUCCUCCUUUGAAUUUUCCCAUCUUGGUGAAAUUUCUUCGGUCUAUUUGCACAAAAUCAUGGAUUUUUGGGAGCUCAAGGCCCUUUCCCGCAGCUGUUUUAGUAGGAGACUCCCAUUCUCAGCUAUUUCACUUUUUCUUUCCUUCCUCCUUCCAUGGCUAGAUCUGAUCAAGGAAAGCAAAUGGAUAUACAUGCUAGUUCGAAGGGUGCCUCUCCUCCUGGCAGCUUGCGCGCUAAUAUCCUUUGGUUCUUCGGAUGUUUUGUGCAUGGAACUUGUUCCUUCCCAUGUGCUAGAGCCUUCCAGCAGCUCUGCAUAUGUGGACAUCUUGCUCCCUUCGUGGCUUCUAUUUUUUCAGCAAGGGGUUGAGGCUUUUGCUGCUUCUCAUUUCUAAUUGUAUGGGCCUUCUAAGAUAACAAGUCAACUUACCAAAUAAAUGGGCUAAUCUCAUCAAGUAUUGGGCUAUAUUGGUUAAUUUAAUGGACCAUUUUGGGCUAAGGUAAUGAGCUAUUUUUCUCCUUCGUGCUUACCCAUAUAUUUGGGCUUAAGAAAUGGGCUUGGGUUCUGAGGCUCCCAAGCAACCCGGGACCUGUAUUUCUUGGCCCAUCAAUGGGCCUUAUGACAACUUAUUACCAUCUAUACCACAACCCACUCAAGCAAGCCCCUGACAUUUGAGUGGCUUGGGUCCACUUAGGCUUGUAGCGUGGUUGGGUGUGAAAUAAUAAUUUCCUGCUUGACCUGGCAUGUUGCUUGGUACGCUCUAAUUUUAUUGUCCUUAGAGAGGGACACGGUGCUUAUUUUAGCAUGGGCUUGUAUUUUAUAACCUUACCCCAAUUCCUGGCAUGACAAAUUAUUUAUUUAGCUUAGCACGUGGGCUGUGACUUGUAUAUGACUGGCCUUCAUGUACUCUGAUAUGUGACUUUUCUUAAUAAAUUAUCGUAUUUGGGCCGAAAAUUUAUUUGGGUCCAACCAUGGACUUUUUUUGGGCCUCAACAAAUUCCAAUGCAAAAAAUAAAUAGAAAAGCUUUAUGACGUUAAAAAUUUGAAAUUAAACAUAACAUUAAUUAAAUUCAACCUGAAAUGUAAACUAUGCAUAAUGAGGUAAAAUGUCAAAAAGUGUAUUUUUUUUCGGCCAUCGGAUUUCAAAAUGCAUUUAUUUCAAUAUAAUCUAAAUUACGGAGAGAGGAAUUCGAACUUGGGUGCAGAGUGGGGAGUAUGUCUGUUCUAACCAACUUGGCUAAGCCCAUGCCUACACUAGAGAUAUAUAAUUCUAAAAAGUGAAUGAAAUUAUUGAUGAAAAUGUGACCCAAAAAAAAAAAACCAUCUUGAAGAAUACUUCUAGAAAGCCAGAGGCGAAAAAUUUGGCUCUUUAAAAUUAAGGAGGAACUCAUCCUCAAGGCAAAUGAAAAUUUGACAUAUGUCAAAUUAUGUCAAAUUCCAAAACAAAGAAAGUUAAAAGAAUUUUAAAAAUAAAAUUGACAAGUGUCAAAAUCCCUUUUGUUUUGAGAAGCAACUCGAGCUUAAAAGGAGUAGAGGUGUCAAACGGGACGGGCCGAACCAGCACAGCACGAGCCCAGCCCGUUUAAAUGAGGCACGACAUGGUACGAGCAUGAAUAUUGAUUGGCCGUGCUUGGCACGGCACGAAAACUUGAGCCAAGCCGGGAUCAAAAAAUGAGGUCCAAUAGACCGGGCCGGCCCAUGGCCCGACAUGGGCCGGGCUUGGCCCGAGCAUGCUUCAAGCACGGCAUGAGCCCAAGCACGAGCCCAAGCAUGGCCCAAGCACAGUCCACUUAACAUUUUUUUCUUUCUCAAAAGUCAAAAUGCAAUAAUUUGACAUAUAAUAUCAUUAUUUAUAUGUUUUUUUUUAAUAAUAUAAAUAUAUAUUUUAUGUCUUUCAUUUUAGGGAAAUUACUUGGGUCCUUAAUUAAUUAAACAUAUCAACUACAAAUUAAUUAAACAACACUGGACUUGAUAUCUAAUCAGUACAUAUGACAUAUACGCUUCUCUUAUAAUCAAAGCAAGACAUUUUUUCACAUAUAAAAUAAUAAAUUGUUUAAAGAUGAAAAGAUGAAGUGGACUUUGUGGAGUUGGACACUUUUUGCCGUCCGCCAUUUCAUAUUAUUUGGAUGUUUGAUUGAUUAUUGUUUUCAAAUAGUUCAUAAUUUCUUGCCCUUAAUUAUACUUUUAAUGUUUAUAAUUUGAAUUAUCUAGUAGAAAAAAAAAAUCAAGUGAAAAAAAAUCAAAUUAAAUGGAUUGGUUCUUGGGCCCGAAUAUGGCACGAGCUCGGCCCGACCCGGCCCGAUUCAAUAUAGACAUGGGCUUUGGGCCGGACCGAAAUCAAUGAUUUUACUAAAUGGGCCGGCAUGGCACGGCCAGAUAAAUUAAAUGAACCGGUCCUGCCCGACACAAAAACAUUAAAAGUACGAGUUUAAACAGGAUGGGCCAGCCCGGCACGGCCCCUUUUGACACCUCUAAAAAGAAGUCAAGCUUUUUUCCAAGCCAACUAUGUUGGAUAUCCUCUCACGAGUUGGAUAUAAUAUGAUUUGCUCUUUCCUACGUAGCUUCCACUGGCUAGUCCAAAAGUAAUAAGAAGAAUAAAAUUUUGUAUUUUUCUUCUCCACAUACAUUUUGGAUUUGCACGCGGUGUAGUGUUGCCACCCGCGUUAAGACACUAAUUAUUGACCUUCCAGGAAAUGAACAAUCACUCCAAUUCCCAUCUGGUUUUCUUCAUGUAUACCUAUAAAAUGGGGCUUCAUUCAUCAAAUCAAACCAUCCAAUACAAACCAAACCCAAACUAGAAAUACUCAGCUUAUUAUUUUUCAACUAAAGUGAGUUCGUCGACUAAUUCCGCAGCAGCAUACCCUCCUCAUCCCCAACCUUACUCGAUGGCGCCCGGAUCUUAUUACGUGCAGGCUCCGCCACCUGCUGGUUAUCCCACAAGAGAUGCUCUAAAUCCUGCUUCCGCUCAUCAUGGGCCUGUAGAAACCAAGUCCAAGGGUGAUGGCUUCUGGAAGGGAUGUUGUGCUGCCUUGUGUUGUUGUUGUCUCUUGGAUGCUUGUUUUUGAACAUCAUGAUCCUAUGCGAUUCUUGAAUUCAGCCCAGUAAUCAUAUAUUUCUUUAUUCGUUUGUGAAUUAUGUUUUCCUCACUUUUUGUAACUUUUGCGUUAUUAUUCGAUUAUGUAAUUCUUGUUGUUGCAUUAUUCGUAUAGUAAAAUUCUUUAAUUUGUUCAAAUAAAAGAAAGAAGUUUUUGUGAGUAUUAAAUAGUUGGGUAAUUUUCACUUUAUUACGGUAAAGUUUACUGACUUUUAGAGCUCGAUUCAUCAAAUUUUGUUCGUUUCAGUGGCAUACACAAAGUUUAUUUUCUUACAACUUUCAUACAUAUCGUCAGUCUUUCUGUUAAUUGCUGACGUGGCAACAAAUGUGCCACGUAAACUCACUCAUAUGAUGCCACAUGAUCCAUAUAUAUUAUUAAAUAAAUAAACAUAAUUUAAUUCAUUAUUAAAAUAAAAAACUUGAAAUAAAAUAUAUAUAUAUAUAUGUCUCUCUCUCACUCUCUCUCCUCCAUUCCCUGUUCUCUUUCCAAUCACUCAUCCUCCAUCAUCAUCACCCAGACACCCCUUCCUCUUUUCCUCUUCAAUCACUCAUCAUUCAUCACCCACAUACUGGGUAUUUAUUUCUCUCCCUUUUUAUUUUUAAUUUUAUUGAGUUAUUUAUUGGGGAGUUCUGUAAAUUUUGGGAAGUGGUGGACUUUGGAUUGGCUUUGGUUAUGUGAAAAAACAAGGUACAUUUUGGGGGAGAUAUUUCUCCGACGUCACUCUAUCCUCUAAAUCUGAGUUGCAGGAAAAGAGAGGGAGAGAUGAGAAACAUAACAGGGGAGGACAUGGAGAGAGAGAGACAGAGAGAGAGAGAGAGAGAGAGAGAGAGAGAAUAUGAAGGUUUAACGGUACAGUUGAGUUUGGGGGUUGGGAAGGGCUGCUGGGUAUUGUUAAAAAGUUAUUCCUAAUUUAUUUUUGUUUUAAAUAUUUGUAAACAUUUUAAAUAAUUCAAGCAUUUUUUAUUUUAAAUUUGAAAUUUGAAAUUUUAAUAGUUAAAUUUAUCAAAAUACUCAUGUCAUGUCAGCUGAUUUAACGAUUUUUAUUUGAAAACUAACGAAAUUGGGCAACCUUAGUCACAGAAUGGAAGUUCAGGGGGCUGAUUGAGUCAUUUAAAACAUCAAAGGGCAAACUAAGACUAAUUGAAAACCACAUAAGGCAUUUCAACAAAUAAGCCUAAAAAUUAAUUAUAGAAAUCCCAGAAUUUGGUUAUUGUCAUGAUUUGGUAUUGGGCAAGAACGAACCUCCUCCUCCCAAAUAGUAAUGUCGUUACACCUCAAAGCAAAGCUAGCAAGAGUGUGUGCAACACGAAACGUAUGAUUGUAUAAGAAACGUAGGUAAUUUGUUUUGUAUCAUAAAAAUUUUAAAAUCUUUGUGUUGUAGUCUAGUAGAGAACGUGGUCAGCUUUGUGCUAAUCGAUCGUCUAUUUCUUGUUACCUGCGUACGAUAAAUGUCAAUGACCGAAAGCUGCCAUUUUAAGUACUUGAUUUGUUAUUCCUUCCAAUAUUUUCAUCAUCUUCUUCUUCUCCGUCGCAUACUUCUGGUUUAGCAUAUACACUCCGGAUCGGUACUUUUUGAAGAGGCUUUACUAUUCAUAGCUUGUUCAAAGAUGUGUUACAGAGCAGCAUACGGUUCUCUACAUUCCACGGCACUGAAACUGGAGCCUCCUGCGACAUCGACCAGAUCCUCCUUAUCCCGUACGAGACUGGUUCAUCUGGAAGAUGUCUUGUUCGGUAGUUUCAUUCAGGAUAUGUUCGUUUUUAGGCCAGGAUGUUCCAUCCCUCACUCCAACCACGACACUCUGGUGCCUUUAUUUCUUCUCCACCGUUGGCAUGUUUUGUAGUAUUAGUAUUGUGGAGGAGGUCAGGUCCAGAUACUACUGAUAUUAUUUUCUUUUUUCUUUUUCUUCUGUUUAAAGGGAGAUUGGAUGUUACUGGUUGUCUGUUGCAAAUAAUUAGAAGCAAUCUAAGUAUUAUUGAUCUAGCUAAUGGACAUUGUAUUUAUGCAAGUUGUACAGAUUAGUUUGAUGUGAAACUGGGGAGACAUGGGCCUAGAUGUAUUCAAUUGCCUACAAACACAAGGCCUAAUGAGAAAGAAAUAUAUUCUAUCAGAGGUCUUGCUUUUGUUCUUGAUACACACACUUUGAUAUUUUGGUAUACUGUGACCUUUGUGCAUGCGGCUAUUCAGACCUGAUAUAGAUAUACAGUGUAUCCUAAUACACGGUAUGCAUACGUCUAAUAAGAUUUCAAAACACCGGUAAGUCAAGGUUCUUUUUCCACUCUUCUAUAUAAGAAAAUGAACUGAAGAGGAAGAGAGAGAGGGAUGAGAACAGAGAGAUUAAGAAUAAUUGCCACAAUCUAGUGAUAGUUCUCUGUAUUAUCUGCAGUAUAAAUAUUGGUACAUGGGGUAGACUUUCUCAAGUCUAUUUACAGAAACUUAAUGUUAUAAGGUAAGUCCAAUCAAUUACAUAUAUUACAGAGGAAUUGACAAUCAAUCAUUCUGGCUGAUGAAUGCCGUGCUUGUGGUUAGGAGGCUUCUAAGGCUAAUGUAAUGGGAUUAACUAAUUUCAUGGGGCUGACAGAUUGGAUAGGAUCUGCUGGGGUAGUAUUCUCUUUACCCCCCUUCAAGCGUAACGGAGCAACGCGAAGAUUGAGCUUGGAUUUAAGAAGAGAAAACCGCUCGCGACUAAGGCCUUUGGUGAAAAUGUCAGCAAGCUGAUGAGAGGAGGGAACAUAGAAGGUGUGAAGAGCUUUGCGAGCAACAAGUUCACAAACAAAAUGAUAGUCGAUCUCGAUAUGACGGGUGCGAGCAUGGAAAAUAGGAUUGGCAGCCAUAUAGAUGGCAGAGAGAUUAUCAACAUAGACGCAAGGGGCAGAGCGAAGAGGAAUACCAAGUUCACGAAACAAGAAACCAAACCAGCGGAUUUCAGCGGCAGUGUGGGCAAGAGCACGAUAUUCAGCUUCAGUGCUAGAACGAGAAAUAGUAGACUGUUUCUUGGCAGUCCAUGUGAGAAGAUUAGGUCCAAAAAAAAUACAAGCACCAGUGGUAGACCGUCGAUCAUCAACAGAACCAGCCCAAUCAGCAUCAGAAAAAUCGCGUAAAGUAAAGUCAUUGGACCGGUGAAACACAAGACCUUGCUCAACUGUACCUUUGAUAUACCGAAAAAUGCGCUUGACAACCUGAAGAUGAGAAGAACGAGGGUUGUGCAUGAACUGACAUACCUGAUUAACAGCAAAGGAAAUAUCAAGCCGCAAGAGAGUAAGAUAUUGAAGGCCACCUACCAUACUCCGAUAGGUAGAGGGAUCAGAUAAGGGAUCACCAUCCAUACAGGACAAUCGAGUGUCAGAGGGCAACGGUGAAGGACACUGUUUGCAGUCAGUCAUGUUAAACCGUGUCAAUAAAUCAACUGCAUAUCUGGUUUGAGAAAGAAAUAAAUGAUCGGGAAACCGAGAAAUUUCCAUGCCAAGAAAAAAAUUGAGCUCACCCAUUCGGUGACUGUCAAAGGUGGAGCACAGUUGAUCAAGAAAUUGGUGGACACUUUGAGGGUCAGACCCGGUGACAAUGAUGUCAUCCACAUAUACAAGAACAUAGACGGUGCAGGAAGUGGAGCAAUGAAUAAAGAGUAAUGCAUCAGCGUGACUGUGAACAAAUCCCUGAUCAAGAAGAAAGGCACUGAGGCGGUGGAACCAAGCUCGGGGAGCCUGCUUAAGGCCAUAGAGAGCCUUAUGGAGCCGACAUACAUCUUGAGGACACGAGGAAUCAUGAAAACCAGGAGGUUCUUUCAUAUACACCUCUUCUUGCAAGUACCCAUUCAAGAAGGCAUUUCGAACAUCAAGCUGCUGAAGAGACCAGUUACAAGACAUAGCAAGAGACAAGAUAGUGCGAAUGGUGGUCGGUUUAACGACGGGGCUAAAUGUUUCCUCAUAAUCAAAUCCUUCCUAUUGAUUGAAUCCCUUUGCAACAAGGCGAGCUUGUAGCGGUCAACAGAGUCAUCGGCUUUCCGUUUAACUUUGAAAACCCACUUGCAUCCCACAAUAUUCAUUUGAGAGGUUGCUGGCACCAAAGACCAUGUUUGAUUCCUCAGGAGGGCAUCAUAUUCAUCCUUCAUGGCAGCUUGCCAGUGACUGUAUUUGGAAGCCUGUGUGAAACUUGUUGGUUCGAAGGACAUGGGAUCAGAGCAGGCCGCAGAGAGAGCAUGGGGUAAGGAGUGUGGAUGGGUCGUAGAGUACAAGGGUUUUGGGGCAGGACCAAAGGGGAUGAUGGACUUGAGGCUCUUAAACUUUUGGGGAGGGUUUGGUGUAUCUGGAGAAUUAGGAAGGAGAGAUGGGUCAAGGGGGGAAGAAGAUUGAGUGAAUGGAUUAAGAGGGGAAGAGGACGGUGUCGACUCGGGUGAUGGGUUUGUGGCGUCCGUGAUGGAGUCUGGGGUCGUAGGGCUGAAUGGCGACGAGGGAGACAGAGGCGAUGCCAAUUGGUUUUGGGAGUGGGAGAACGAUGAAAGGACGACGUCUGUUGGAGCAGGGGAGAAAGGUUGUGUUGGGUCAGAUUGUGUAGGAUCAGAUGGAGGUGGGCUGGCGGAGGGGUUGACUGAUAGAGAGUCAAGAAUAAUGGGGGCAGAUUGGGCUGGACCUGUAGAAGUGUUGAUUUGUGAAGAGUCCAGGCUGGGCCCAAUAUCAAACUGAGAGGCAAGUGUGGACUAGCGGCAGGUGUAAUCUGAGGUUGCUGGUAGGGGAAGCUUGUCUCAUCAAAAAUCACAUUCCGGGAUAUAUAAAUGCGACCUGAAAUAGGAUCAAGACAACGAUAGCCUUUAUAAUGAGCAUCAUAGCCAAUAAAUACACAGGGAACGGAUUUAAAAGAUAAUUUAUGCCUGUUGUAUGGCACCAUAUGAGGGAAGCAGGCACAACCAAAACUCUUGAGAAAUGUAUAAUCUGGUGUCCGUUGAAAUAAUUUCUCAUAAGGAGACAUGUGGUCAAGUUGAGGAGUUGGUAGGCGAUUAAUCAGAAAAACCGCAGUAGAGAAGGCUUCAACCCAAAAGCUGUGGGGCAGGCGGGAUUGGGCCAACAAACAAAGGCCCAUCGCAACAAUAUGCCGAUGUUUCCUUCCCACCACUCCAUUUUGUUGGGGAGUGUAUGGACAUGAGAUCUGAUGUGAUAUGGAAUAUGGUCACGUAAAAAUGUUAGGAAUAAUUUGCUAGUAAAUUCUCCAUCACCAUCAAUCUGCAGUUGUUUGAUACUAGAACUAAAACGAUUUUCCACCAUGUUUUUGAAGUGAACAAAUGUAGCAAGAACUUCUGAUUUCUUAGCCAAUGGAUAGAGCCAAGUGAACCGAGUAUUAUCAUAUACAAUGGAUAAAUAAUAACGGUAAUGCCAGGCAAAACAAUCUCUGAAUUCCUGCAAAAGUGCCAUGAGUUCAGUCUUGAGUGGCUCCUUCAAAAGUGUGCUGAUGAAAGUAGGCCUUGGAUCCUCUUCUGUCCCUAAGUUUAUUUCCUGUAGAGGAUCCUCUACUUCUGGCAGGGAGUCAUCCAGUGCUGCUGGUGCAAAAUCUAAUACUUCCUCCUGCAAAAUUUCCUCCUCUUGUUCUUUUGUGCUUUCAUGGGUGAAUUCUGCCAUAUUGAUGGCUGGAUUCUGUAUGAAAAGCCUCCUUUCUCCCCAGUAUAUCAACAAUCUUUUUGUGAUGGAUCGGAUUGUUGCAGCUCGAUCCUUGUCCAGUUGAUUGGGACUAAACAUCAGAGUUCUGGAAGUCAGCAUAAAAAGGUCUAUUCCAGUCCUCUAGAGAACUGGCUAAACCUUCUUCAAUGAGUCUUUGGGCCGUGACACCAUGUGGGCGGCCGUUCUGAUUGACUCCGAGGAAAGUGAAGGGACCGAGGUCAUCAUGAUAAUACCUUGCUUCAAAGCACAUGGCAGAGGGCAGGAAUGGCCGUGGAUCGGCCUCUAUAAUCUCCAUGCAGCCUUCUUCAUUCCAUAGUGCUAACUGCUGGUGGAGGGUGGAAGGAAUACAAAGGCUCUGGUGAAUCCAAUCCCUGCCAAGUAGUGCAUUGUAGGUGGUGGAAGUAGUGUCUAUAACAAAGAAUGCUAUUUUCAACUCUUUGCUUCCGACUAUGACAUCCACAUCUAAGAUGCCAUGUAUUUUGGUGAUGCCCCCAGCGAAGUUGGUGACGGUCAAUCGUGUUGGAAUCAGAUCUUUCUCUGUCCUGCCCAACUUGGUCAGCAUUCUGUGGGGUAAUAGAUUAAUGGCUGCACCUCCAUCUACCAUGAUCUUGGAAAUAGGAAUACCCCCAAGAUUUGCCGUUAUAAACAAAGGUCUGAGGUGAUUUGCCAUUUCUCUGGUUGGCUUGGCGAAACAAGGUUGCUCUGUAGCUGGUUUAUUGGCUGUUCUGCUUGCCUUGGGGUUUUCUGGUUGUGGUUCUGGUGGCUCCUCUGCUUCUGCCAAUCUACAUUCAAAGCUUUCCUGAGAGAAAACAUCUCCUUCCAGAGUGCUUUCUUGUCCUUCGGCAGCCCUGAAUUUCCCUGGUACGAUGAAUACCAUGUUAAUUCCCAGAUCACCCUGUAGGAGGUCUUCUAAUUCUGCCCCAAAAGCUUCUGUUUCUGGAUCCAAUUCUUCACCAAAUUCCAUUAAUUCUUCCCCGUAUUCUUCCGCCCAGUCAUCCUGUUCUGCUACUUCGAGGGGUUCUUUCUGAUCAUCUGCAGAAGGUUCAUAGUCCAAUUGCUCUUCUUCAUAUUCCUCAGUGUAGUCGUCUUCUCCUUGUAAUGGGGUAGACCCGGAUUUCUUUGGUGUCUGCGUGGUGUCAGGACGACUGCUGGACGACGAGGCUACAUGGAUAGGAGACCUGGCUGGUGGUUCUGUUUUCAGCAAUUCCCUUGACUGGCAGGCUUUCUGUUCUGUCUGAGGAAGUGUUUCAGGAUUCUUUCCUUUCCUGGCAGAACUGGGUUGUGAACGUACCUGCGUAUUAUCUUGGCUCCUAAGAUAUGUGCAGUAUUGCCUCUGGAUUCCCCUUUUCUGAGUUCUGGUCAGCUCCAGAGUCGGUCUACCGCUUCUUCCUACGGAAUACCAUCUCCCUUCUAUGAUCGUUGCCAAGGGUUUUUUGUUUCCGGGUGUCUUGACUGGUAUUUCCUUUCUGGGUUGCUCCGUCCUCCUCUCGCUAUAUUGUGUAGGCCUAAGACAGCUCUUCUGCCUUGUUUUGUCUCGGGAUGAGGUUCCAAUCCUGUCAAAGACACUAGGUGUGGGCUGAUUUUGUCUGUCUAGAACCACCUCUAGCUCUGUUUCACAUUUGCACCUACUGCAGAGCACUACCCCAGCCGAGAUGGUCGCUCUUGGUAUUUGACUGGUCUCCCUUAUGACUCUUCUGCCUCUGCUGCAACCAGCAUCUGUGAUUGGCUCGGUUUUCCUUUGUUCUGGCCAAUUUAAGUCGACCAUAUUGACUUGAGGUUGAGGAAAAGGAUCCGUUGUGACCGAUGGUGGUUUUUCUGCCAGUUUCAACCUUCCUGCCGCUAUCCCUUCUUGUAUCACGUUCCUGAAAACCACACAACUAUUGGUAGAAUGGUUCCAAGAGUUGUGCCACCUGCAGUACUGUCUGCCCUUGAGUUCUUCCGGCUUCGGUAUUUUGUGAGGCGUUUCUAUUGCCUUCUGCAGUAGCAUUUCGUCGAACAAGGCAUCAACCUUGGUUAAGUCAAAAGAGUAAACCUUGUUUUGUGUUGGCUUGUUUGGAACGAAUCCUCCUGUGAAUGGUGGUGGCUUUUGGUCUUUAGGUGGCUUUGUGAGGGCUUUGCAACUAAUGGGAUGUUUUAGUUUUGCCAUUUCCGCCACUGAAACCUCUUUCUCUUCUGAUUCUUCCGCAUCUUCUUGUGAUUCCACCUCGAUCAGGUGGACUGAAGAAGAAGGGGUUUUAUAUUAUGUACCUUUGGAGGAGUUCCUCCUUUGCUGUUCUUCCCUGAGUAACUCCUCAUAUUUGGAUGCCCUAUCAGCCAGUUCUGCCAGAUCUCCGAAUAAUAUCCCGUCGAACCUCUUCCUGAGAGAGAUUUUAAGGGCGGCUUGGGCCAUCUGGAUGAAGUGUCUUUCUUCCAUGGGGAUUCGGCACUUCAUUUUGAGCUUUCUGAACCUGGUUAUGAAAUUUUGGGCCGGUUCAUCUUCACUUUGCUUGAGGGCAGCUAGAUCACUGAUGGUGACUUCUGGCUGAAUCCUGUAAUAGUAAUCAUGGAAGACAUUUUCCAUCUGUUCCCAGGUUUGAACAGAGUUAGCUGGCAGGCUGGUGUACCAGGUAAAAGCUUGUCCAGAGAGAGAGUUGCCGAAAAGCCUUAGUUUCAGCAGAGGGUUGUUCUCGAUAGCUAUGCAUUGGACGGAGAACCUGCCUAUAUGUUCAACUGAAGAAGCAUGGGGGUCCUCCUCAUUGAACAGAGUGAAGUUUGGUACUUUGAAACCUGGAGACAACAGUAUUUGAUCGAUAUAAGCUGGGUAUGGCUUUCUGUAAGUAGGCCUUUCCCCCCUUCUAGCCUCGGGCUCCAUGAUUUCUCUGAUCAUUCUUUGCAAUGCUCCUAUGUCAUUCAGAGCAUUGACGGGGGGAAGAUUUUGUCCCUGCUCUGGCUGAACGUAAUCAAACCUGGGUUCUACUCUGUGUGGUCUGGGUGGAACUUCCUCCCUGUGUUCUUCCUGCUCUUCGACUUCUGGAUGAUUCCUCCAGUUUGCCCCUGGUCUAUUUCUGUCAUGAUUAGCAAAAAGGUUCCCUCCUCGGCCUCUCCUCCCUCUUGCAAGUGGAGGGAAUGGAUUAGGGUCCAUCCUUCUGGGUCUAUAUGGCAAUACUGCCGGUGGUUCAGGCAGAAGCGCCAAAGGUUGAUCAUGUGGGGCCACAUGAGGUGGAACGGGCUGAGGUUCUGGCUGGUUCUGAGCCAGUGCCAGGUUAUCUGGUUGAGCUGGGGCUUCAUGUCCUUGAUUAGGAAGGGCUCCUUCCCUCGGGCCAGCCUGGAUUUCUCUGUAGUCUGGCACUCCAGCCAUCUGUGCAACUAGGGGAUUUUCCUGGUAUGGCCACGUUAAUCCCGGCGGAGGGCCAUACGGGAGAUCUAACUGCUGGAGUAUAGGAUCCGGGUUUGAAAUUCUGGCCAUGGCGGAUUCUCGGUCCUUCCGGAACUGUCUGUUAAUCUGCCAUUGCAUCAUGGCUGUCAUGUUAUUGAGAGUGUCCUGGCUCCUUUGCACUGUGAUUUCUUGUCGGAGUACUGACUCCUGUAUUUGAUUCAUCCUUUUGGAGCCAGUCCUGGAACGUCUACUUCCUGUACUGCCGUGGGCAGAUUGCCUAGCAUCGCUUUCUUCUGACUCGAGGCCUUCCCUGAGAACCAUCUUGUUUUUCUCCAUAUCUGGUGUGGGUUCUGACCAGAUCUUCCGGUGUUUGUAAAUCUGUGAAUGAUUCUGUCAGAGCAUGUAUACUGAGAAAUCCCACCGGGCGUGCCAAAUUGUUCAUCCGUUUUCGUGUUUUACUCCUGAGGUGGAAGGGCGAAGUUCCCCACUGGCUUGGAGACCACUUGUUGGUCGACAAGUCAGCUUUCUUUGGUGUGCGAGCGUGCCACUGCUAGCAAUGUAAAUUCUAGCAGACUUAUUUUUAGAUUGGAUAACUUGCGCCUCAAGUUACUGACUUCUAAAACAAAGGAUUGUGAAUUUGGGUGAGGAAUAUCUCCCAAGUAAGUUCUUUUCUUGCCUCAGACUGGUGAGGACUUUCAUAAUCUAUCUCAGUAUCAAAUGGCUGUUCUGGCCAGAAUAGAUAAUAAUAAAAUACUGUUUCAGGCAGAACUGCCUUUUACAAAAUUAAGAAGGGAGAAAUCAACCCUAGAAAGACAAGAAGAUGGCUGGAAUCCCAUUUCUGCCUAGGUAGAAACUUCUGAUCCGGGCUGGAUUGGGUAUGUCUGUGUUGGACUGUGCUGUCAACAACUUUGGCUGCUUGGCUUCAGCUGUAAAUCGAUACCAAAGUUCAAUUUUGGCAGAGCUUCAAUCUACUUCAAGCCUUGGGAGACUUUUGAGCGGGCAGAACUGCAGGAAUUCUUCAGUUUGAAGGGACAGAAGUAGCUAUUCUCGAGGAUUUAGCAAGCUGGAACUAUGCUGUAAAAUUUGUUGAGGUUUUCAUAUUGGUAAAAACUCAAACUAUGUUUGUCUUGGCUUUUGCUGAACCAAAUUUGUAACGAGAAGGAUCUCGUUUUCAGAAGACUUAUUUUCUAAGUCUGAACUUUGGGAUUCUGAUCUAAAGCUGUUUUUUUCUCUUGGGAUCCAAGUGAACUUUUUCUUAUUUGUUUUUUUUGAUUGAUUGAUGAAUUGAGUGUCCUGUUUCUUUGCCUUCUUUCGCUUUUAUAAGAGAUCCUCCUAAGGAGGUCAUUUUUAAUCUUUUAAACAAUGGGCGGCAAAAAGAUCUCUUAUAAUGUAAAGUAAGAAGGGUUUUUUAGAUAGGUUCUGAGCAGUCACCUCCUAAAAACAGUCCCUUCCCUGGUUUUCUGGGUGGCAGCUUUCUAAUUCAACCAAUGCCACCGUCUGUGUGGGCUUUUUAUGGCGGUUUUGGCUCUUUUUCUUUUGUAUUUUCUGAGUGGUUCCCUGUUUCCCGUUCUAAUUUAGAAAGCGUGAUCCGUGAAUUUCUUGGGAGAUGGUGCAUUGAUUUGGAGCAAAAUCUUGAACACAGAUGGGUUUUUGAUCUUCAAUUGGCAGUGUUUCAGAGACGUCCCUCUCACAUUUUUAAAUUUUAGUUGAUAUUGCUGACUUUUCCAAAGCUGAGGCAAUCACGUGGGUGUGUCUUCGAAAGUUUCCACAUCUGGGCUUUCUUUGGGCUGAGGCUUUAUUUCCAACGUUUUUGGUGUGAAGCCCAAACUGUUUGGAUUUUAUUUUUUCUCAAAUCUCUGGGCUGGGCAGGCAAUUUUAUGAUGGGCCUGCCUUCUGAUCUUGGGCGUGCCGAAUUUGGGCCCAAACAAUGCCCCCUAAGUCUGAAUCGUUUUGGAACGGUUUCAGACUUAAUGUUUUGCCAUUUAAUUCGCGCGCCAGUUUCUUCCGUGUUUUCGCCCACGUCUGCCACGUUUGCCUGCUACGAACUAGAGUUCGUGGGAAAACGGCUAGUUAUUAGCUAGUUACUAGCUAAUAAUCAUCAGGUGUCGUCCCAUCUUCUUCUUCCCACGUUUCCGAGCCCCUCUUUUAAAAGAAAUUCAAACUCAUGGCUUCUGAAAAAGAAAAACCCUAAACCUUCCAACUCUUGUUCCUGCGAGCUUUUUCUUCGAGAUCUCCAUAGCUUUCUUCAGACCUCCCCUUCUUCUGCUUCUUCCCUCGAAUCAGAAAUGUCUUCCCCAAGGUCCCGCGCUCAGUCUUCUUCCGCUCCAGUUCCUCCCGAUUAUAUUACUGGGAGCGGGAUUGAUGCUCACGCGAUAGAAAUCAGGAGCAAGCUUCAUCCCUUUGCCCAGAAGAAUCUGGACGAGAAUGUCCUCCAUUUGUUCGAGAAUACCCUGGUGUUAGGGCCUCACUGGUUUGGUCCUGUUCCAGCUGAGAUGGCAGAAUUGCUAAAAAAGGAUGCCGAGGCUCCUUUGUGUUUUGAGAGCUCUUCUGCCCUGGCUUAUUAUUCUUGGGUUAGCAAGAAUUUGAGCCGGUCCUUCCCGUCCAGUGAGGUGAGGAACAGUCCGGUCAAAUGGGCAGGCUGGAUUGAUAGACUUCUCCCGAGAUAUGGGGGUCACUGGAGGAGAGCUGGGAUUUAUGACGCCAUUCUUCUGUCCAAACAAUCGAUUAACAGAGAUGAGAAUCUGCUUGCUGCUGCCCUAUGCUUCUGGAAUUCUGCCAGCAAUACAUUUGACUUCUGCGUGGGUCCCAUGGCGCCAACCUUGCUGGACAUGGCUCAGAUUUUCGGGUUCAGGCCCCAUGGUAGGCCUGUUGAUGCCGUUGGAGAUUAUCACAGGCGGAGGAAUCAAGAGAAAGUGGCCACCCUUUUUAUUAUCCCUCCAGCCGUGAUCAACCAGAACUGCUCUUUCUCCAACUAUCUGAAGAAAUUCAGUGCUGAGAAGGACAAGGACCAGCAACAUAUGUUGUUCCUUCUGUAUUGGCUGAAUUGGUUCGUUCUCCCCAAUCGGUCUUCUGCAGUUCUGCUAGAGUACAGACACUUGACAGAAGCACUCCACAAUCACACUGAUGUGGGGCUCGGGCCUACAGUUCUGGCUCACCUUUUCAGGAAUCUGCACACUGCCACCCUGGAGAACCCAUUGAACCUGUCAGCCCCGGGCGCAUUCUGGAUGAUCCAGAUCUGGCUGCAGGUUUAUUUUCCAGAAAUAAGGUUCCCAGACAUAGUUCUGCCUGAAGAUCAAGUCCUGGCUCUUCCUCUGAUAUCGGCAGAAGUGCCCAAGCGUUCUAUUGAGGAGUAUUUGAUGCUCUUCAGGCAUUGUAUAAAGAGGUCGGCAGCUCAGUGGCAAGUGGUGAUCAGGAGGACCUAUCCUUGGUUCUAGACCGGAUUUCGGUUGUUUGAGAAGGAGCCAGAAGAUGAAGCUGCCAGAACAGAUUUCAGGAGGAAAUUUCUGAGCAUUACUCUGCCCAGAGAUCUACCCCAUGGUGGGGGCAAACCUCCAAACUAUCAUCUGGGGGCAGAAGUCUACCAUCCCAACUUCUACGCAAGGCAGCUUGGUUGUCCCCAACUCAUUCCGCUGAAAUCAUAUCGGAGUUGUAACCGGGCCUCUUCUUGGAGGGAUGCAGAUGACCUGGAGGUGCACAAGGAUGCCCGGUGUGCAGUGAACAAAAUCAACAACAGCACGGAUGCCCUCUAUCCCUCGUGGGAGCUGAAUUCCUGCAGUUCUGCCGAUUUUAACGCAUGGUGGAAAGCCAGAUUCCAAAGUCUGCCUGCUUCUGUCACUGCCCUCAAGGUGCUAUUCGAUGGUUGGGAAAACUGGGUCGUUUUUGCGGAUGGGGAUGCCAAGACGCAUAUGAUCCAGACUAUCAAGGAUAUCAACGCGCAAAUUAUAGAAGGUAGAUUUCUGAUUCUGUCUGGGAUUCGUUCUGUCCUGAUGAUUGAUUUCUAAUGUCUAUUCUGCCUGUAUCAGAUCCUUCUUUGACUAGCGUAGGUGGGCAGUCUGUUCAUGCUGGAGAAGUGAUUGGUAAGUCUUUUCUUUUAACUCUAUUCUGUCUUUUCCUGCUGGAUUGGUUUCUAACGUCUAAUGCCUUGGUGCAGUCUCUUCUGUUAUUGCUGCCGGGGACUUGGAGCUCCCCUCUGCAGAUGAAGGCGAUGAGGUCCAGACAGAACAAACACCUACCGAGGCCGCUCUUUCUGGCAGGAGAAAAAGGAAAGGACCUGCCCCUCCUUUGGAUAAUACCACGCGGCCCGGCAUUUCAGGUAGGCUCGUGAUGUUCCAAUCAUUCCCUUUAAAUUUAUUCUGUCUUGCCUCCUUUUCCCUAGUGCUGCUUUUCGUUCUGCGCAGCUGGAAGUCCUUCCCCUCCUCCUACCAAGUUGAAAAAACUUAAAAAGAGGAGUGAGGAGGAGUAUGUCGUCGUGGAAGAAACGGCAGCAGUUCCCACCACUACCUCCGGGACGGAUGAAGAGCUGCGAGAGGCUUUUGAGGAGGUGGAGCAGGAAAAAGAAUUGGAAGAGCUGGAAGAAACGCCUCAGGAAAAAACGACAGUGGUGGAAGGAGAGGUAAGUUUUAUUUCUGUGAUUCGCAUCAGUUCCCUUCUUGCCCUGUUUCUUCCGUUCUGACCCCUGUUUUGUAGGAGGAGAUCCCUGCUGAGGUGAUUGCAGAGAGCAUUGCCUCGGCGCACAAGCAACAAGGGGGUCCAAGGGCUGAGCUGACUAGCUCAGAACUAGCCCUAUUUGAGGAUGCCGAGGCAGAGCAUUCUACUGCCGCUCCAGUGGCUGAGGAUCAGGCGGAACGGUCUGCAUCAGAGCCUGUGGAUCAGGCAGAACUGUCUGUUGUGGUUCCGGAGGCUGAAGUGGAAACAACCGCCGCUGCCCCUGUGGUUGUGGUAACUUUUUUUCUUAUCUGUCCACACUCUCCUGCAUUUCUGCCUUAUUCUUUAUUUUUAACUGUUGUAGCCUUUUCAGGUAGAAGUGCCUAAAGCUGUUGGCGUCCUGGCAGCGGUUACCAGUCCCCAGAAGCCUCCUAUUGUUGCUGUAAGUUUUCAUAACUUUGGGCCUUUAUUUUCCACUUUCUGCCUGGUCUUACCUUAUGCUUUCUUCUUGCAGAUGCCCAUUCAUUCCCUUCCAGGAUCAUCUGCCACGGCCUCUUUUGCUGAUCCAGAACUCGAAGAGUUUGAAGCCAUGGAUCUGGAUGCCUAAUUGGACAGACUGGAGAAACUCAGCUCUCCUCCAGGCAAGGCAAAAUCUAGGGCAGUGGAGGAGGCCAUGGAGAGGUUGAAAAUCUGGCAGUCUAAUGAGCUGGAGUUUGAUCAAGACAAUGAAGCCUUAAAUCAGCUGAUGAAGGACCUGGACCUGCUUCACAGACAGAACAUGGCUCCAAAACCUAUCCUUGAGAUGGGCCUAAGCUUGGCCAGAGAUGUGCUCAAUCUGCAUGAUCGCUAUGAGGAUCUCAGACCUACUUUCAAGACUUCUGAAUUCUGCAAGGCCACUCAUGAAGCCAACCUGGCUGAUUUUGGAAAGCAGAAAGCAGAACUGGAUCAGAUGGUGGCCGGAUACAAGGAAGCCAGGGCCACUGCGGACAAGCUGGAGAAGCAGAUUGAAGAGCUCCAAAACCAACUGGCAGAAUGCAGGGAGGUGCAGAGCAGGCUUGGGGCUGGACUGAGUUCUAAAACUAAGGCCACUUUCCUUGUGCAAAGUAUGGUUGCAGCUUCCAGGCCAACCUUGGAGAUUGCAAAGGCUUCAAUUCACCAGGGGGUGCUGCUCCAGAAAGAGCUUUCUGUCAAGAAAGCGAACCUGCAGGAGACUCUUAGAAAACUAGGAUUUUAGCUUCUUCUUUCCUUUUAUUAUUCGAAUAAUUUGCCGCAAAGGUGGCUAUUUUUAUAUAAGCUUUCAAAGCAUUUUACUGCUUUUUAUUUAUUCUUGAUGCAAUAACCGGACACGGCUUUGAAAGUAAAAACAAAAACAACUUUAAAGCAAAAACAGAUCUAAGCAAGAUUCUUUUCAAGAAAAGUCAAGCUUGUUCCUCUUCUAUCCCGGGAUCUGUUUGUACAGCCUGUGAAUCCCACAUGGUUGGAUAGAACUUCUUUAACCAUUUACCAUUGAUUGGGGCAAAAUGAACAACUCCAUCUCGGUCCUGCAACCUGUAUGCCCCCAUUCCGAGGAUUUGGUUAAUUAUAAAAGGGCCUUCCCACGUAGGUGACCAUUUCCCAUAUCCAGCUAUGUGUGCUCCAAGGGGCAGAAUUGCCUUCCAGACUAUCUCUCCCUCUUCAAAACUUUUGUUUCUGACUCUUCUGUUGUAGGCCCUUAAUACAGCCUGUUUUCCUGCUAAGAGUUUGUUGAGGGUGUCAAUUUUGCUUGCAUCCAAUUCUUCCAAUUCCAGCAACAUGGCUUGAGAGUAAUCCUCCCCAAUGAGACCGUGCUGGUGAGCAAUUCUAAGAGACUGGACUGCUAUCUCCAUGGGAAGAAUUGCAUCAUGGCCGUAGGUUAGAGCAUAGGGGGUCAUCCCAGUUGCUUCUCUUUUUGAAGUUAUGUAUGCCCACAAAGUUUCUGACAACUUCUCAUGCCACUGCUUUGGAUUCUUCUCUAGCAUUUUUCUGAUGAUAUUGAUAAUCACCUUGUUACUUGACUCUGCCUGUCCAUUAGCUUGAGCAUAGUAAGGAGUAGAUUGAAGCAGUUUGAACUUGAAUGUUUCUGCCAUAUCUAGCAUGUCCCUAGAUAUGAAAGAAGAACCCCUAUCAGUUGUGAUUGAUUCUGGAAUGCCAAACCUUUGUAUGAUCUGUUCUUCUAUGAAGGUGAUGAUCUCUUGAGAUGUUGUGGUUUUUACUGGCUUGGCCUCCACCCAUUUGGUGAAGUAGUCUAUAGCAACAAUAAUGAAAUAAUGCUGCUGGUUGCUGGCUGGAUAGAUCUUGCCAAUGAGAUCCAUUGCCCAUCCCCUAAAAGGCCAUGGUUUUACUACUGGGUUCAUGGGAACCGAAGGGGCCUGCUGGAUUGGGCCGUGCCUUUGACAGGCCUCACAUCCUUUGGAAUAGUUGAUGCAAUCCUUCAUCAUGGUUGGCCAGAAGUAGCCAUACCUUCUGAUUAACCAGCACAUCUUCCUUCCCCCUUGGUGAGCUCCACAGAUCCCCUCAUGGGUUUCUCCCAUGACUUUCAUGUAUUCUGUGUUCCCGAGGCACCUUAAUAGUACCUCAUCCUUACUUUUUCGGACCAAAUCUUCAUUCCAUAUGAGGUAGUUUGUAGCCAUGAUUCUGACUCUUUUCUUAGAGGGCAGAGUGGGAUAUCGUAAGUAAGUCAUGAUAGGCUCCCUCCAAUCAUCUUCAGUGAUCAAGGCAGAGUUGACUUCUAUCUCCAUUCCUCUAGUAAAAACAGAUGGUAGACUUUUCCUUCCUAUCUUGAUGAUCCUUUGGACGCAGUCUUCGGGCAUUUGUAUGCCUGAUGCCACCUGAGCCAGUUCAUUGGCUGCAAAGUUUUCCUCCCUUGGGAUGUGCUCCCAAGUAGCUUCUCUAAAUUCUGUUAGCAGAUUUCUAGCUGCUACUAGAUAUACAGCCAGAGAAGGAUUCAGACACUUAUAUUCUCCAGCAAUCUGUUUUAGGACAAGCAUGGAAUCUCCCAAGAUCUCCACGGACUGGACUCCUAAUUCUACUAACAUCUCGAGCCCUAUAAUCAAAGCCUCAUACUCGGCCCUGUUGUUGGUGCAUUGGAAAUCUAGCUGGAAGGAGUAGCAAUGUCUGACCCCUAAUGGUUCCUCCAGAACAAUCCCUGCUCCUGAAGCCUUAUCUGUCUUUGAUCCAUCAAAAUAUAAUUUCCACGGUGUGAGAUGAAUCGAGUCGAUUGGAUUGUUAAGGCAAACAUGAGCUCUAGUUAGUAGAUCUGCAUUUGCUAUGUCCAAGGAAUCCAUGUUUUCAAUUUCCUCUCCCGGGUGAUCUGCCAAGAAGUCUGCCACAGCUUGUCCUUUGACAGCUUUCUGGGGGACAUACCUGAAGGUGAAUUCUGUCAAAGCCAAAGUCCAUUUCCCAAUUCUGCCUCUCAGCAUUGGUCUCGUUAGCAUGUAUUUGAUUAAGUCUGUUUUGGCAAUGAUGUAGAUAGUAUGUGGCAGCAUGUAGUGCCUGAGCUUUACAGCAGUAAAAUACAAGGCCAGGCAGAGCCUUUCUAUUGCGGAAUACCUUCUCUUUACUUCUGUUAAUGUUCUGCUUAGAUAAUAGACUGCUUGUUCCUUUCCCUCUUUGUUGUCUUGAACUAAAAGACUUCCAAUGGAUACUUCUGAUGCAGAUACAUAAAGCUUUAGUGGUCUGCCUCUUUUUGGCGGGGACAGAACUGGUGGGUUUGAGAGGUAAUGCUUUAUUUCCUGGAAAGCCUGUUGGUGCUGUUCUUCCCACUUGAAUGUCUGUUCCUGCUUCAGCCUUAACAGGGGAGAAAAAGGUUGGAUUUUUUCUACAGAAUUGGAUAUGAAUCUCCUUAGAAAAUUGAUUUUCCCUAAGAGACUUUGAAGUUCCUUCUUGUUCCGAGGUGGUAGAGCUUCUAUGAUGGAUUUUGCUUUAUUUCUGUCAACCUCUAUACCUCUCUGGUGGACCAAGAAUCCUAAGAAAUUUCCUGCUUAGACUCCAAAAACACAUUUUUUGGGGUUCAUUUUUAGUUUGUGUUGCCUCAUUCUUAGGAAUACCUUUUUUAGGCUUGCUACGUGGUUUCCUUCCUCAGGGGAUUUAAUCACCACGUCAUCUAUGUAUACUUCCAAGGAAUGUCCUAUCAUAUCAUGAAAAAUAGAAUUCAUUGCCCUUUGGUAGGUGGCCCCUGCAUUCCUCAAACCGAAGGGCAUUACAGUAUAUUCGAAAGCACCUAUAUGUCCUGGACACAUAAAGGCUGUCUUGUGGAUGUCCUGUUCUGCCAUCAUAAUUUGGUUAUAACCUGUAUUGCCGUCCAUGAAGGAUAGCAUCUGGUUAUGAGCAGCUCCAUCUACUAGCAUGUCUGCCAUUGGCAUAGGAUAUUCGUCUUUAGGAGAUGCCUCAUUCAGAUUUCUGUAAUCCACGCAGAUUCUAACUGCCCCUGUUUUUCUUUUGAGAACAGGUACAAUAUUUGCUAACCAAUCGGCAUAGACGGCUGGCCUGAUGAAUCCUACCUUGAGCAGCCUUUCUAUCUCUUCUUUGACCUUUAAUUCUGUGUCCAUAGACAUUCUUCUUCUGCCCUGUUUGACUGAAAGGUAGCCAUCUUUAAUUGGCAGCUUGUGCUCUACUAACUGCCUGUCCAACCCUGGCAUUUCGUGGUAAUGCCAGGCAAAACAAUCUCUGAAUUCCUGCAAAAGUGCCAUGAGUUCAGUCUUGAGUGGCUCCUUCAAAAGUGUGCUGAUAAAAGUAGGCCUUGGAUCCUCUUCUGUCCCUAAGUUUAUUUCCUGUAGAGGAUCCUCUACUUCUGGCAGGGAGUCAUCCAGUGCUGCUGGUGCAAAAUCUAAUAUUUCCUCCUGUAAAAUUUCCUCCUCUUGUUCUUUUGUGCUUUCAUGGGUGAAUUCUGCCAUAUUGAUGGCUGGAUUCUGUAUGAAAAGCCUCCUUUCUCCCCAGUAUAUCAACAAUCUUUUUGUGAUGGAUCGGAUUGUUGCAGCUCGAUCCUUGUCCAGUUGAUUGGGACUAAACAUCAGAGUUCUGGAAGUUCAGAAUAAAAAGGUCUAUUCCAGUCCUCUAGAGAACUGGCUAAACCUUCUUCAAUGAGUCUUUGGGCCGUGACACCAUGUGGGCGGCCGUUCUGAUUGACUCCGAGGAAAGUGAAGGGACCGAGGUCAUCAUGAUAAUACCUUGCUUCAAAGCACAUGGCAGAGGGCAGGAAUGGCCGUGGAUCGGCCUCUAUAAUCUCCAUGCAGCCUUCUUCAUUCCAUAGUGCUAACUGCUGGUGGAGGGUGGAAGGAAUACAAAGGCUCUGGUGAAUCCAAUCCCUGCCAAGUAGUGCAUUGUAGGUGGUGGAAGUAGUGUCUAUAACAAAGAAUGCUAUUUUCAACUCUUUGCUUCCGACUAUGACAUCCACAUCUAAGAUGCCAUGUAUUUUGGUGAUGCCCCCAGCGAAGUUGGUGACGGUCAAUCGUGUUGGAAUCAGAUCUUUCUCUGUCCUGCCCAACUUGGUCAGCAUUCUGUGGGGUAAUAGAUUAAUGGCUGCACCUCCAUCUACCAUGAUCUUGGAAAUAGGAAUACCCCCAAGAUUUGCCGUUAUAAACAAAGGUCUGAGGUGAUUUGCCAUUUCUCUGGUUGGCUUGGCGAAACAAGGUUGCUCUGUAGCUGGUUUAUUGGCUGUUCUGCUUGCCUUGGGGUUUUCUGGUUGUGGUUCUGGUGGCUCCUCUGCUUCUGCCAAUCUACAUUCAAAGCUUUCCUGAGAGAAAACAUCUCCUUCCAGAGUGCUUUCUUGUCCUUCGGCAGCCCUGAAUUUCCCUGGUACGAUGAAUACCAUGUUAAUUCCCAGAUCACCCUGUAGGAGGUCUUCUAAUUCUGCCCCAAAAGCUUCUGUUUCUGGAUCCAAUUCUUCACCAAAUUCCAUUAAUUCUUCCCCGUAUUCUUCCGCCCAGUCAUCCUGUUCUGCUACUUCGAGGGGUUCUUUCUGAUCAUCUGCAGAAGGUUCAUAGUCCAAUUGCUCUUCUUCAUAUUCCUCAGUGUAGUCGUCUUCUCCUUGUAAUGGGGUAGACCCGGAUUUCUUUGGUGUCUGCGUGGUGUCAGGACGACUGCUGGACGACGAGGCUACAUGGAUAGGAGACCUGGCUGGUGGUUCUGUUUUCAGCAAUUCCCUUGACUGGCAGGCUUUCUGUUCUGUCUGAGGAAGUGUUUCAGGAUUCUUUCCUUUCCUGGCAGAACUGGGUUGUGAACGUACCUGCGUAUUAUCUUGGCUCCUAAGAUAUGUGCAGUAUUGCCUCUGGAUUCCCCUUUUCUGAGUUCUGGUCAGCUCCAGAGUCGGUCUACCGCUUCUUCCUACGGAAUACCAUCUCCCUUCUAUGAUCGUUGCCAAGGGUUUUUCGUUUCCGGGUGUCUUGACUGGUAUUUCCUUUCUGGGUUGCUCCGUCCUCCUCUCGCUAUAUUGUGUAGGCCUAAGACAGCUCUUCUGCCUUGUUUUGUCUCGGGAUGAGGUUCCAAUCCUGUCAAAGACACUAGGUGUGGGCUGAUUUUGUCUGUCUAGAACCACCUCUAGCUCUGUUUCACAUUUGCACCUACUGCAGAGCACUACCCCAGCCGAGAUGGUCGCUCUUGGUAUUUGACUGGUCUCCCUUAUGACUCUUCUGCCUCUGCUGCAACCAGCAUCUGUGAUUGGCUCGGUUUUCCUUUGUUCUGGCCAAUUUAAGUCGACCAUAUUGACUUGAGGUUGAGGAAAAGGAUCCGUUGUGACCGAUGGUGGUUUUUCUGCCAGUUUCAACCUUCCUGCCGCUAUCCCUUCUUGUAUCACGUUCCUGAAAACCACACAACUAUUGGUAGAAUGGUUCCAAGAGUUGUGCCACCUGCAGUACUGUCUGCCCUUGAGUUCUUCUGGCUUCGGUAUUUUGUGAGGCGUUUCUAUUGCCUUCUGCAGUAGCAUUUCGUCGAACAAGGCAUCAACCUUGGUUAAGUCAAAAGAGUAAACCUUGUUUUGUGUUGGCUUGUUUGGAACGAAUCCUCCUGUGAAUGGUGGUGGCUUUUGGUCUUUAGGUGGCUUUGUGAGGGCUUUGCAACUAAUGGGAUGUUUUAGUUUUGCCAUUUCCGCCACUGAAACCUCUUUCUCUUCUGAUUCUUCCGCAUCUUCUUGUGAUUCCACCUCGAUCAGGUGGACUGAAGAAGAAGGGGUUUUAUAGUAUGUACCUUUGGAGGAGUUCCUCCUUUGAUGUUCUUCCCUGAGUAACUCCUCAUAUUUGGAUGCCCUAUCAGCCAGUUCUGCCAGAUCUCCGAAUAAUAUCCCGUCGAACCUCUUCCUGAGAGAGAUUUUAAGGGCGGCUUGGGCCAUCUGGAUGAAGUGUCUUUCUUCCAUGGGGAUUCGGCACUUCAUCUUGAGCUUUCUGAACCUGGUUAUGAAAUUUUGGGCCGGUUCAUCUUCACUUUGCUUGAGGGCAGCUAGAUCACUGAUGGUGACUUCUGGCUGAAUCCUGUAAUAGUAGUCAUGGAAGACAUUUUCCAUCUGUUCCCAGGUUUGAACAGAGUUAGCUGGCAGGCUGGUGUACCAGGUAAAAGCUUGUCCAGAGAGAGAGUUGCCGAAAAGCCUUAGUUUCAGCAGAGGGUUGUUCUCGAUAGCUAUGCAUUGGACGGAGAACCUGCCUAUAUGUUCAACUGAAGAAGCAUGGGGGUCCUCCUCAUUGAACAGAGUGAAGUUUGGUACUUUGAAACCUGGAGACAACGGUAUUUGAUCGAUAUAAGCUGGGUAUGGCUUUCUGUAAGUAGGCCUUUCCCCCCUUCUAGCCUCGGGCUCCAUGAUUUCUCUGAUCAUUCUUUGCAAUGCUCCUAUGUCAUUCAGAGCAUUGACGGGGGGAAGAUUUUGUCCCUGCUCUGGCUGAACGUAAUCAAACCUGGGUUCUGCUCUGUGUGGUCUGGGUGGAACUUCCUCCCUGUGUUCUUCCUGCUCUUCGACUUCUGGAUGAUUCCUCCAGUUUGCCCCUGGUCUAUUUCUGUCAUGAUUAGCAAAAAGGUUCCCUCCUCGGCCUCUCCUCCCUCUUGCAAGUGGAGGGAAUGGAUUAGGGUCCAUCCUUCUGGGUCUAUAUGGCAAUACUGCCGGUGGUUCAGGCAGAAGCGCCAAAGGUUGAUCAUGUGGGGCCACAUGAGGUGGAACGGGCUGAGGUUCUGGCUGGUUCUGAGCCAGUGCCAGGUUAUCUGGUUGAGCUGGGGCUUCAUGUCCUUGAUUAGGAAGGGCUCCUUCCCUCGGGCCAGCCUGGAUUUCUCUGUAGUCUGGCACUCCAGCCAUCUGUGCAACUAGGGGAUUUUCCUGGUAUGGCCACGUUAAUCCCGGCGGAGGGCCAUACGAGAGAUCUAACUGCUGGAGUAUAGGAUCCGGGUUUGAAAUUCUGGCCAUGGCGGAUUCUCGGUCCUUCCGGAACUGUCUGUUAACCUGCCAUUGCAUCCUGGCUGUCAUGUUAUUGAGAGUGUCCUGGCUCCUUUGCACUGUGAUUUCUUGUCGGAGUACUGACUCCUGUAUUUGAUUCAUCCUUUUGGAGCCAGUCCUGGAACGUCUACUUCCUGUACUGCCGUGGGCAGAUUGCCUAGCAUCGCUUUCUUCUGACUCGAGGCCUUCCCUGAGAACCAUCUUGUUUUUCUCCAUAUCUGGUGUGGGUUCUGACCAGAUCUUCCGGUGUUUGUAAAUCUGUGAAUGAUUCUGUCAGAGCAUGUAUACUGAGAAAUCCCACCGGGCGUGCCAAAUUGUUCACCCGUUUUCGUGUUUUACUCCUGAGGUGGAAGGGCGAAGUUCCCCACUGGCUUGGAGACCACUUGUUGGUCGACAAGUCAGCUUUCUUUGGUGUGCGAGCGUGCCACUGCUAGCAAUGUAAAUUCUAGCAGACUUAUUUUUAGAUUGGAUAACUUGCGCCUCAAGUUACUGACUUCUAAAACAAAGGAUUGUGAAUUUGGGUGAGGAAUAUCUCCCAAGUAAGUUCUUUUCUUGCCUCAGACUGGUGAGGACUUUCAUAAUCUAUCUCAGUAUCAAAUGGCUGUUCUGGCCAGAAUAGAUAAUAAUAAAAUACUGUUUCAGGCAGAACUGCCUUUUACAAAAUUAAGAAGGGAGAAAUCAACCCUAGAAAGACAAGAAGAUGGCUGGAAUCCCAUUUCUGCCUAGGUAGAAACUUCUGAUCCGGGCUGGAUUGGGUAUGUCUGUGUUGGACUGUGCUGUCAACAACUUUGGCUGCUUGGCUUCAGCUGUAAAUCGAUACCAAAGUUCAAUUUUGGCAGAGCUUCAAUCUACUUCAAGCCUUGGGAGACUUUUGAGCGGGCAGAACUGCAGGAAUUCUUCAGUUUGAAGGGACAGAAGUGGCUAUUCUCGAGGAUUUAGCAAGCUGGAACUAUGCUGUAAAAUUUGUUGAGGUUUUCAUAUUGGUAAAAACUCAAACUAUGUUUGUCUUGGCUUUUGCUGAACCAAAUUUGUAACGAGAAGGAUCUCGUUUUCAGAAGACUUAUUUUCUAAGUCUGAACUUUGGGAUUCUGAUCUAAAGCUGUUUUUUUCUCUUGGGAUCCAAGUGAACUUUUUCUUAUUUGUUUUUUUUGAUUGAUUGAUGAAUUGAGUGUCCUGUUUCUUUGCCUUCUUUCGCUUUUAUAAGAGAUCCUCCUAAGGAGGUCAUUUUUAAUCUUUUAAACAAUGGGCGGCAAAAAGAUCUCUUAUAAUGUAAAGUAAGAAGGGUUUUUUAGAUAGGUUCUGAGCAGUCACCUCCUAAAAACAGUCCCUUCCCUGGUUUUCUGGGUGGCAGCUUUCUAAUUCAACCAACGCCACCGUCUGUGUGGGCUUUUUAUGGCGGUUUUGGCUCUUUUUCUUUUGUAUUUUCUGAGUGGUUCCCUGUUUCCCGUUCUAAUUUAGAAAGCGUGAUCCGUGAAUUUCUUGGGAGAUGGUGUAUUGAUUUGGAGCAAAAUCUUGAACACAGAUGGGUUUUUGAUCUUCAAUUGGCAGUGUUUCAGAGACGUCCCUCUCACAUUUUUAAAUUUUAGUUGAUAUUGCUGACUUUUCCAAAGCUGAGGCAAUCACGUGGGUGUGUCUUCGAAAGUUUCCACAUCUGGGCUUUCUUUGGGCUGAGGCUUUAUUUCCAACGUUUUUGGUGUGAAGCCCAAACUGUUUGGAUUUUAUUUUUUCUCAAAUCUCUGGGCUGGGCAGGCAAUUUUAUAAUGGGUCUGCCUUCUGGUCUUGGGCGUGCCGAAUUUGGGCCCAAACACCAUUGUAGCACCAGCUUGUGUGAGGGAAUCAAAGAGCGAUUUGGCAUAAUUGAGAUAAUCAGUCACUGUUGUGUUGUUGUCCUUUCUGAGAGUGCGAAUUUGGUCUCGGAGAAUCCGUACACGGGUACUAGCAAGAGGUGAGAGGCGCUUGGCCAGCAUGGUCCAGGCUUGAUGAGCAGUGGUACAAGGGAUGAGAAGUGUCUUGAUGGAAGAGGAGGAAGUCGCUUUGAUCCAACUCAGGACCAGUUUAUCCUUGGCUAACUCUGGGUGCACAGAUCCAUCUUCUUGCACUUUGGGUGGGUCUGUGUUGUUCUUGACGACUGCUGCAAGACCGUGCAUCUCCAAUACAUCUUCAAAUUGGGAUUUCCAACUCAAGUAGUUGGUGCGAUCCAUAGGAACUGAGAACAAUGAUGAGAUAUUGAAAGAGGUGGGCAAAGAAUGGGAUGAGAAUGGAGGUGAGGAAAGUUUUGACAUUUCAGAAAUCAGUUUUGACAUAUUGAUAUUGCUUGAUUCUCCAGAUUUAGGUGUGUCGGCCAUUGGUUUGGGUAGGAUCGAUAUUUUGAGGGUUAGCUCCGAAGAGCUCUGAUACCAUAUAAGAAAAUGAACUGAAAAGGAAGAGAGAGAGGGAUGAGAACAGAGAGAUUAAGAAUAAUUGCCACAAUCCAGUGAUAGUUCUCUGUAUUAUCUGCAGUAUAAAUAUUGGUACAUGGGGUAGACUUUCUCAAGUCUAUUUACAGAAACUUAACGUUAUAAGGUAAGUCCAAUCAAUUACAUAUAUUACAGAGGAAUUGACAAUCAAUCAUUCUGGCUGAUGAAUGUCGCGCUUGUGGUUAGGAGGCUUCUAAGACUAAUGUAAUGGGAUCAGCUGAUUUCAUAGGGCUGACAGAUUAGAUAGGAUCUGCUGGUGUAGUAUUCUCUUUAUUCUGAACCCUAGAUAAUUAUAAAACAUGAAUGAAAUUAAUUCUUAAUGAAAAUAUGACGGCAAAAAAAAAAACUUAAAAAAUUAAUAUAACUUUAUAUAAUAUCUUGGAUAUCGUCUCAUGAGUUGACUAUAUAAUGUGAUUUGCUCUUUCCUAUGUAGCUUCCAUUCCACCCUAUCCAAAAGUAACGAGAACAAAGAACAUUUUGUAUUUUUCUUCUCCAUAUGCGUAUAGGAUUUGACGCGGUGUAGCCACCCCGCGUUAAGACGCACUAGAAUUAUUAACCUUCUAGGAAACGAAACCAAUUCUCAUAUGCUUUUCUUCAUGUAUAAAAUGGGGCUUCAUUCAUCAAACUAAACCAAACCCAAACUACAAUUACUUAUCUUAUUUUUCAACUAAGAUGGGAUCGUCGACUAAUUCACCAGCAGCAGCAGCAGCAGCAUACCCUCAUCCCCAACCUUAUUCGACAGCACCGGCACUGGGACCUUCUUACGUGCAGGCUCCGCCACCUGCUGGUUAUCCCACAAGAGAUGCUCCAAAUCCUGCUUCUGCUCAUUAUGGACCUGUAGAAACCAAGUCCAAGGGUGAUGGCUUCUGGAAAGGAUGCUGUGCUGCCUUGUGUUGUUGUUGUCUCUUGGAUGCCUGUUUUUGAACAUCAUAUUCUCAAGGGGAUUCUUCUUGAAUUCAGUCCAAUAAUCAUAUAUUUCUUUAUUCGUUUGUGAAUUAUUCUUAUAGUAAAAUUCCUUAAUUUGUUCAAAUAAAAAGAGACACUUCAAGUUAUUUUUAUGAAGUGUUAAGUAUAGUUUGACAUGUAGCACCGCGCAUUCCUGUAUUCAGUUGAUGAAUGGUUCAAAUUGGCAUAAGCUAGCUGUAUGGCGAGUACAUAUACAUUGUCAUGAGUUGAUUAUGUGGGAGCAUACAAUCAUCCGAUACCACAAUUGAUAAACAAACACAAAUACAACAUCAGAGUGUUGAGAAUUAAUUUUGAAAAUUCCAUAACUAGUUUUAAAAUUUCUAGAAAAUCCAUCUGCUAUAUGUUAAUGUUUGUUUAAGAGUUAGAUAGCAGCUGGUUGUUAGCAUUUAAUUAUUGUUCUAACUUCUAUGAAGUUAUAUGUAUUGCUUAAAUAUGAGCUUUUGUAUAUGACUUGAAGUACGUAAAAACUAAACAGAAUUGUAGCCAAAAGUAGCAUUGUAAUCAGCGUCCAAUUAAGAGGGCCCUAGAAAUUUAUAUAUUAUAUAUAUAUAUUACACCAACGUCCA